rnacentral:lncRNA from 1 species
GAUGUUAGUGAUUGUAUUCAUGGUUGAUCUGACUUCUUUGAUUCCGACUCUUGUUUACAGAAAAACUGGAACCUCUUCAGUGUUAAUGUUGCUAUGGCAGGGACAGGCAUAUACCAGCUUGCUCGUAAAAUAAAGUAAGAUCGAGAGAACAUCUGAUUUUCUUCUUACUUUUACAUGUUAUGUACAUCUUAAGACACGACUUAGUCAAAUAAGCAUUUGGUUGAUUAGUUGAAGUUUUCUCCCUUGCCAAACUGAUACACUUGCUUUGAUCUACAGACACGAUUAUGCAACCGAAGCUGAGCCUGCCGUUGCGAGCGAAUGAUUAUGAUGACGAAGCUGAGAUUUCUAAAGGAAACUGGAUAUCAUCUUGCUUCUGUUUGAAAAUCUAGUCUCAAGAUAUAUGAUUUUCUUUAAAUUCCAAGAUCUUCUGAUCGGAUCACGAUUAUCAUUUCCAAGGUUUUUUAAGUAUUCCUGUUUGACAUUUGUUCAAAUGAUAAAGGAGGUCAAAAAGUUCCCUUCAUAUGCUGCUUUUAAAGUAAAUCAUCAAGUACUCCACAGACAAAUUAAAUGUUCUGAAUGUUGAAUCAAAAUAAAAUUCAGACAAAAAGACAAGAAUCUCCUAUGAAUUGAAUGAUCAGUCUGAAUCAAUGAGUCAUUUCCAUUAACAUCAAAAGGAAUAAGCCAUGGGGUUACAGACCAAAUCAAGGAUCUGCGUCCAUAUCUAAUGACUGCUUUGUUCUUUCUGUAAUGUCUUUCUUCCUAAUUGAUAUUGAGAGUUGAGGGUGAGGAACCAAAACAAUGCACCCAGUUUAUCAUUCUUCUAAUGGCUUGUCCUCUUUCGGGUCGUUUUCUGCAUCAGCAUCGUUUGCAUUUAAGUUCAGUCCUAAAUCCACAGUGCUUUCGUUCAAAUCUUGUCGCACUACUUUUUCUUCAUCAUCCUGUACUAUUUUUUCUUCAACCUGCUAUAUAAGAACAGAUGAGAGGUUCAGUAUUUACUUUUCGUAGUAACAAAAGAUCACAAAGCAUUCUUUAUUCAAAUUGGAGGCAAUUCAACACAAUGACAAGGGAAAUUAUGCAAGAUUGCAAAUUAUAGCUGGCAUUAGAACAAAGUCUAGAAACCACAAAUUCAAGUACGCAUGAUGCUAUGAUAAAGUAUCAGUUUUUGAAAAUCCUACCAAAAGAAACGCAGCUAGGCUCCAAGUAAUAAGUCAGGAAUCCAUGAAUGAACAAUGGAGUUAUCAACAGAAACAUUGAUGAAGCAGAUAAUAGUACAUGUUGAAUGCUUUACCUGAAUAUCUUCCAUCGGAACAUCAUUGAUGUCAGGCUUUUCCUCCACUUCCACUUCCGCUUUCUUCUCGCUCGACUCCUCUACAGUUUUGUCCUCAUCAACCUUGUCUUCCUGCUCAACCUUAUUAUCCUCAUCAAUCUUGUCAUCCUCCUCAAUCUUAUCAUCUUCCUCAAUUUCUGUAAUUUCCUUCUUCUGUUCCUCAAGUACUGCUAUCUGCACCAUUUUAAUCACACUUCACUUCAAAUGAAUCACUAAUAAUCAAAACUAAACUAGAUAUACAAAGUUUCAAAUUCCAAAUUUAUAAUCCAACACGAUUCAAUGAUACUGAAAACAGCUUCUUAAGCAAAGAUCAUCUACUUCAACCAGUGAUAAACCUUAUGAUUCCAUCUUACAAAUCAUUCCCAAAUCACAGCUACUAAAAACACUAAUCCAGUCCAGUUACUCCAAGGAAUCAAAAUGGCAAAACAGAGACAUAAGCACUCCUUCAACAAUGCUCAAAACUGACCCUUUUUUUGUCAAUAUUAAUACGGUGAUUAAAUCCCUAAUCACUGUAACAAUCACCUAAUCAAACUUCUAGCAAAAACCUUAUAGCUCAAUCCAAUGCAACAAGAACAUUGAACCAAAAACCAAAAACUAACCGGAACGUAUUUGAAUCUCCGCCGUGGAGGAUCUUCUGCCACCGUUGCCACCGUAUCCUCGCUCGGAGAAUUACUCUCACUUUUACCAUCUUCAUUGCCGUUACCAUUCUGAGACAAUGGUGCCCACUUAUACAGCAACAAAUGCGAUCCAUUACUACCGUCAGAAUUCGAACCACCGUUAACGACGGAAGCUGCAGCAGCGGCGGAACCGGAGGAGCUAUUAUUAUUGUCUUUCUUAGAGGAAGGAGAGACGUGUACCCACUUCUUCUUCCACUUCCUCACCGGUCCGGUGAAAACCGUUGCCGGUCCGUACCGUGUCGAGGACCUACCUAACCGUGCACCAACUCCUUCCAUAACGACGAAUCGUUUAUCGUUGAUUCACUGAUCAAAAUUCAAAUUUAAAAUCCCACCAAUCUGUUUAAUGAAACUUUGUUUUCAAAUUUCUUAAAAGUAAAAUUUGCUCUUUCCACCGAAGGAAGAACUCAGAUCUCAGUUUUUGCGAAGCGACCAAUUUUAUUGGUUUUUGCUUCAAGUAGAAGACUCUUGUUGAGCAAGAAGGUUUGACUAUUGACACGUGUGUGAUAGUUAUAGGCUAAUCUAAUUAUACUUAACAAUAAUUGCUUUUGUUUGAGAAAGAGAAAGACUCUGUCUAAACCAGAGGGUCUCGGCUAAUCGUUUUGACCUAGUAGCGUCAUCAUAGAGAGUUUAGUGGAAAAGACUCUGAUACCCCUGAAGUUCUCUCCUAUAUAAACAUCGCUUCAACCUUUCAGCUACAUCAUCUCUUUCAUUACGACGCCUAGGUUUAGGGUUUUCAACAUCAAUUUUUUUGAAUCAGAUUAGUUUUUUUUUUUUUAAAUUGGGGCUACAUUGUACCGAGAGAAGGGCUCGAUUUCGAUACCUUUACUCUUGAAUUUGCCAAAAAAACGGCUGUAGCUAGAUUGAAUAAGAAGCUAUCUGGCCGGUGGUCGCGAGAGGGAUUUAGAUCUCUCCGGUCGAUUCAUCUGCUUACCGAGUUUCUUACAUUUUCUUUUUGAUUUUCUUAACAUCUUUUGAUUCGUUUUAUUGAAUGAUUGGAUAUAGUGAAUAGGGAAUAGCAGAUUUUAAAAUACCAUUUUCGAUAGUUCUUUCUCGUGUAUUAAACUUAGGGUUCCUUUCCAGGCGUUCUGUGCUCUCUUCAUGAACAGUUGUGUCUUAUUGGUACCUACAUAUGUAUUUUUUUUACAUUGAUCGCAUUUAACCAAAAGUAUAACAGUCGAUAAAGAUGAAAGUGAUUUAGUAUGGCCCUGAAUAACUUAUGUGAUUUAAUUCGACCAAAAAAUUGUUCCAUUGAAUUGUCAUAAUGAAGAUUGAAUUGUUUUGGACCUAAUCAAAGGAAUAAACAUUUGUCAUUUGGACCUAAUCAAAAGAAAUAUAUUUGAAUUGAACCAACUCAAAGGAAAAUGUUAGUUUUGUUUUGACCGAAACUAAUCGUUAAUUGUCGCUGUCGCAUAUGAAACAGAGUACUUGCAAAUGAAUUAAGAAAACGAGAAGCCUGGGAAUGAGUUUGUGAUAUUGGUUUGAAAUAGUAGAUGUGAACAAUAACCAUUUUCAGCUCCAGAAAUUAGACUGAAUGGACCUCUUGUUGUAUAUUAGAAUUCAUAAAACAAGAUAUGUAUAUUACCCCCAAAAAUUAGAGAAGUGUUUGUUCUCGAUGAAACGUUAGAUCUUGUAAACCAAACUAAGUAUUUAGAUCUGGUAGAGUAAACCUUCUAAUACACUGCAAUCAAGUCCCAAGCAAACAAGAUUUGAAUUUGAAAACACAAAUUUAAAAGCGUUCUCAUCUUGCAAAGCUGAAAAAUGAAAAUCCAUAGUAAGGGAAAACAAUUUCAGUUUAUGUACUACACAAUUAUAUAGAGUUCACACAAUUGACCAUUCCUUAGGUUGGUUAUACCCAAUCUCAAAAGCCGCCAUAACCUUUGCGCAUUGGAAUGUGUUCAAUCGUCAAAAGAAAAAUUAGCCCUGGGCAUGUGGGUAUUCGGGUCGGGUCGGGUCGGGUCCUUUCGGGUUCGGAUUUUUCGGGUUUUGAAAUUUUGGACCCGUAUGGUUAUAUCAACAAUUUCGGGUCGGGUUCUAUCCGGGUUCACUUCGGGUCCGGAUAAUUCGGGUAUUGCCCAUAAGUAACCAAAACUAUCUCGGGUUUGAGUACUACUUACCCAAACUUUAUUUAAAUAUACCCAAAAAUACAUAAAAGUAUUCAUAAAACCCGAAAAAACCGCAAUUAUAACAAGUUUUUCCUUAAGAGAAUAAUAUAAAACAAGAAAUAAACCUUAUUUUGAGCUUAUUCCAUAACUCAUAUCAUUAGACAAGUCACAAAUUCAAGCUAUUAAUGCAUAUAUACCAUCAUAUGUAUAUAUAUGUUCGGGUAGUAAAAAAUACCCACGAGUAUCGCGUUCGGUUCGGGUAAUACCCGAUACCCUUGGUUAUUUGAAAACAGAACCCGAUCGGGUAAUUAGCCGGAACCGAAGUAGAAUGGGUUCGGGUAUUUCGGGUCGGAUUCGGUUCGAUUCUUCGGGUUCGGAUAUUAUGCCCAGACCUAAAAAAAAUCUUAAUGUCCAAAAGGUCCAUCCGCUUUUGUUAUAAUCCAUGAUACAGCAUCUUACUUCACUAAUAAAAACACUCAAGUCUCAAAUUUUCCAAUAAAUUGUUUUACCGGGCCACUUGGUCGUGAAAAUUCCAACUGUAAACGCAUUUGCUCAUAAUGUGUUUCUUCUUUGUACCACCAAUGAAGAUCUAACAUGCUCGGAAGAGUGCUCAAUGUUUGUUAAUCAUCCCCAAAAUAGUCAAACAAUCCUUCAUACAUAUAACUUGUUUAGCAAUAUACAUUAGUAAUCAUCAAUAAAAAAAAAGAAAAACGAAUAUAGUACUAUCACUAUCUAACAAUGUACAGUUAAGGUUAACUGUCUGAAUAUGGUUUCUUCUCUUUCGUUAAGAAACAGUCUCAUGUUAAAUACAUCUAGUCAUAGUAAAUGAUUGGUUGGUAAAGUUCAUUCCCUAAAUCCGUGCGAACUUUUAUGUCUCUGACUCUAAUAAGUACCAAAAACCAUUAAAGUAAAGUGGAUUUACACGAGUUUUCUAGUUAUAUUAUUAAUCCACAUUAAGUAAAAACAGGAACAAAGAAGGAUGACCUUAAACAGAAAUUACUGAUUCACCAAAUUUUACCGAAUCCCAUGUCGACGGAAGUGUGCGCCGCUCUUAGGUUUUUAAUUUCAAUUUUAAUAUUCUUUUACAAUAUCCAAAAUUCCGGCAGGUGAUAAGACGGGAAUACCCCUCAAUUGGCGAAAUUCAGAAAAGGACCAAGAGAGAGAAGAAGACGAAACGAUCGUCAGAGAUAGAGAGAGAGAAAGGUCAUCACCCAUUCUCACUCGCAGAAUAUUUGUUCUCAUCUGAUUCCUCCGAUCUGCCAUGUCUCGGCUUUUCUAACGCUAAGAAGUUUCACAGACGCGGCGAAGGAGAGGGAGGAAGGAGAUAGAUCUCUUUUUCCGUCGCGAUAAUAAUAAAAAAUAAACGGUUUGUUUUUCGUUCUCUUGCUGUUCAUGUGGAUCGGAUUUUUGUUUUCGUGCUAGAUUCCAUUAGUUUUUUGGUUUCGGGAUCGACUAGUUUCGUAAUGGAUCUGAUUUUUCUAUUGGAUCUCCCUAGUUUUGACCUGAGCAAGCGUUUGUGAGGACUUCAUGUUCUUAUGACCUAGAUUCGUUGUUUUAGAUGUGGAAUUUGGUGUUUCACUAAUCGAUUUAUUCGAUUUCUCUGGUUUUUGGUGAUGAUUGAUCAACGUGAUGAUUUGAAGAUAUUCAUUGUUCAUGUGCAUUGUUGUAAAGAUGUUUUCAAGUUUCCAGUGUCUUGAUUAAUCAAUCACUGUGUUAUGGGAAAAGUUUGGAAUCUUAACUGCUACCAUUAGCGUGUUGGUUUGUUAAAUCACUACUUUAUAUACUUAUUAUGGUAUGUUGCUUGUUUCUGCAACUUAACUCUUAUUGGUUACUGUUGGAGCCUUGAGAAACAAUCAGUUAAUAAAGUCAAUUAGCAGAGAUAAUCUUGUUCUUUCUUUUGCGUUAUUUCAUUUCAUGAAUAAAUCAGAUGUUAGUGUUGUCUUUCCCUCUUCUGUUUGGUCUUCUCAGAUGGUUUUUGACUGUUUUGUGGCUUUUAUUUUGGAUCUCUAGUGUCUAGAGGCUGUUACUGAAGAGUUGAUUCAUACGGAGAGAGGAUAGAAAUGGCAGAUGGGAUAUCGAGCUUUUGGGGUCCUGUGACUUCUACUAUAGAGUGUUGUGAGAUGAACUACGCCUACUCAUCCUACAUUGCUGAGUUCUACAACACUAUAUCCAAUGUCCCUGGAAUCCUAUUGGCUCUCAUUGGUCUUGUCAAUGCAUUAAGGCAACGGUUUGAGAAGAGGUUUAGCAUUCUUCACAUUUCGAAUAUGAUACUUGCUAUCGGCAGCAUGCUCUACCAUGCCACUUUGCAACACGUGUAAGUACCAGUCAGCUUCCACUUAAUUGCUAUCUUGACUUAUAUGUACUUGUUUGAUUCAUGCAUAUAUGUUUCUAGACUGUUAGCAUACUGAUCCAAAUUUCGGAUUAUAAUUUGCAACAAGUAUAAGUACCUGUCAGUUUCUGCUGCUAUUCUUCCUAUUUUGAUUUUUACAGGCAUGUUGAAUUCAUCAUGACUUAUAUGUAGUUGUUUGAUUGAUGCAUAGAACUUUUCAAAUUGUUAUUAGUAUUCUGGUCUAAAUUUCGGAUUAAAACUCUCGGUUUCUUGAUUUCAAUCAGGCAACAACAGAGUGAUGAGACCCCAAUGGUGUGGGAGAUACUUCUAUACAUGUACAUCCUUUACUCACCAGAUUGGCAUUACCGAAGUACAAUGCCCACUUUUCUCUUCCUCUACGGUGCUGCCUUUGCCAUAGUCCAUGCUUACCUCAGGUUUGGAAUUGGUUUCAAGGUCCACUACGUGAUACUUUGCCUUCUAUGCAUCCCUCGGAUGUACAAGUACUACAUUCACACAGAGGACACAGCAGCCAAAAGGAUUGCGAAAUGGUAUGUUGCUACGAUCUUAGUGGGAAGCAUAUGCUGGUUCUGUGACCGUGUCUUCUGCAAGACGAUAUCUCAGUGGCCUGUGAAUCCUCAGGGACAUGCUCUGUGGCAUGUGUUCAUGAGUUUCAACUCUUACUGCGCAAACACAUUCUUGAUGUUCUGCAGAGCUCAGCAACGUGGAUGGAACCCAAAGGUAAAAUACUUUCUGGGAGUUCUCCCUUAUGUCAAGAUCGAGAAGCCAAAAACACAAUGAGAAGAAAAUUGGGGAUAAAAAAGCCCAGAUGAAGAAGAAGAAGAUCAUAAAUAUAGUUUUUGUUCAUCGUUUUGUCAGAAUCUCGACAUGGUUUUUUUCUUAAUUUUAUUUUUUGAAAGUGAAACUCUCUAGAUACAGUCUAGAUUUUUUUUUUUUUUUCUCAUCUCUGUAUUAGCUAUUGGGAAUGCUCUUAAGAAGAAUUGAUUUUUAACUUGCUAAAAAAGCUCUUGUACCUUUUGGUUUUCCUGUGUUUGGUGUGUGACAUCAUUUCUUCAACUAUAACUCGUGUACCAUAAUACUUAAUGCCAUUCUUCUAUUUCUCUUAACACUGUUUACAGCUUAAUCAGGUCUAAAACUUUUUGAUUCAAGAUCUUGGUUUUGAUAACACCUUAAGAGAAUAGGUUCCAUUGUAAGAGAAUUGUAGUGAGCUUCUUUUCUUUCAUAAAGCAUGUACCAGUACUAUACAGAGGAAUUCCACAAUGAGAAAAACAAAAAAACUUAUAAAUCUACUUUUUUUUUUCUUUUCUCUUUCUUUUGAAUAAUUUUCAGACGUAACACGGAAGCAGAGUAAUAUGGUAUACAAUGACGGGUUGUGAUGAUCUAAGAUCCAAUAACCUUUUCCUGCAACAUUUGGCCAAGCUUCACGAGUAGCGCUUGUUGUUCUUCCAAUGUCAGGCUUGUGAUUAUCUGUAAUGAGUAUAAAUCACUACAAGUCAAAUAAGAGAUCUUACUUAAUGUACAUUGUGUUGGUUCUUCUACUAGUAAACUUUUACCUGGUCUAAGAGCUUAUCCACAGAGAGGACUUCAGGUACAACAAACGAUUGAUGAUAUAUAUAGGCAAAAACAGCCAUCACCAUCUAGAAACCCAAAAGACAUAUCAUAUCAGAUCUAAUACAGUUCUAAACCAUAGUGAUGUUUGAAAGUCUUUAAGAAAGUAAUAAGAAUGUAUUGAAGUCAAUGCGCCUAUAUACCUGACAAUCCAUUCUAUCUGUAAUUCCGCCAUGUCCGGGAAUACUAUCACCAAAGUCCUGCAAGGUUGGAGAACAUUUAACAGUGAAUCAAUGUUGCAUAGAUAUUGUGGUUUUAUACUGAAUAUCAUCUGAAACCCACCUUGAUUUUGAAUGCUCUUUUGAAACCACUGGCAAAGAAGCCACCAAAAGGAGCUAUUAUAGAGGCGAACAAUCCAAGACAUAGAGCAUGCCACUGGACUGGUAGAAUCGAAAUUUCCUUCCAAGGGAGCUGUAAAGUAAACGCCUCACGUUAAGAAGCAAUAAAGUUGCUCGAGUAAUUGUUUAGUAUUGUACAAUUCAAUUCUAGACUUUACCCAAUCAGAAAUCCAUCCUGGUAAAGCAUGUGUCUCUUGCUUGAACAGUGGACCAGGGUCACAGAGGAGCCAGCCUGUCGAUAGAUCCUGUAUUCAUAACCCCAAUAACAUAAUGGUUAGUAAAUAAUUGUAAAGGUUCUUGUAUGAAAAAAGGCAGGACAUGACUUAAACUUUCAAGUACCUCUCUGGGACAUGUCAGCCACAGGAAACGACCCAUUAUAUUUGCAAGCUACAAAAACAAGCAAGAUUAUUAAUCAAUUACUACUCGUCAAAAAACAUAUACUUAUUAGCCCAUAAAACAAGCUUACCAGGAAUGCAGAAAUCACUGUGGUAAUAGAAGCUCCAAUGAAACCCUCCCAUGUUUUCUUUGGUGAUAACUUGAUCAACGGUGUUCUUCCAAAGAAGAAACCACAGAUAUAUGCAAAUAUGUCAUUGAUGACGAUAAGUGAUGCAGGAAGAAGAAACCUGCACCAGCAACCAGUAUAGUAAAUAGACUUUUAGUCAGGUCAUAACCAAGAUACAAGAGAAAAUAACACAAGAACUAAACACGGAGCAAACAAGUAAGAAGCGUUAAAAGGAAUAGGUGACUACCAGAAGAUUCCUUCAAAGAUGUUGGCGACAGUGAAUGAGGACUGAGUAAACACCACAAUUAAUAUCAUAUGUGUCCAUGCAUAUUGGCUAAACUGAUAUUUGUACAUCUUCUUUUUCAGCGUGAGAAUAAACCAAACAAAGCCUACAAUUCCACAGCAAAAAAAGGAGAGAUUAUGUUAAGUAAAACUAGUGAACAAAAAUCAUUGCUCUCCUCACAGUAAUCAGUAAACCCAAAAGGUCAUAUAACAACUAACCAGAAAUAUACAAGGAGUAACAGAUUGCCAUGUGGUAUUUGAUGAGGCUUGUGACCAGUCGAUAUAGGACUUUGUCUGGAGUCACAGUGUUGACUAGCCGUUGACUAAGUAUUCGACCAUAUACAAAGAGCAUUGCUGUAAAAAAGAAGUGCCUGCAGAAACAAAAUCAGUAGUCAAAUGCAAAAUCGUUUCAACAAAUAGAAAAGUACUAAGAAUAUGAUACCAUUUCAGCAUAAUUCACAUAAAAGCAAAACAAAAAAUAACUCAGAAUGUUGAGAGAAGUGAGACAGUAUAAUUACCAAUUCAGUAAUCUAAAACCAGGGAGCUGUUUAUCUUCAUGAGUUUUUCUCAGCAAAUUAAAAAGUUCUCGUGCCAUGAAUAUCUGAAUAACAACCACCAUGGCUGUAAUGUAGAGAUGACCCAGGUAAACUAUAAGAGCAAAACCACCUAUCAUCCAGAAAGUGGAGUAUGCUCGAAUGAGAAACGAUUUGUAUUUUUUGCUGUCAUUGACAAGUAAAUGGUUUCCAUUUGGUUUGCCUGCCCCUGCACCAACCUAAAAAGCCAGAAAUUUGAUUGAAUUUACAACCAAAAUGAAGCAAAUAAGUAGCUUAUGUACUCUUAGAAUAGCUUCUACAUCACAUAAGUAGAAAAGGACCAAAUAAAUCCUUAUACAACAAAAGCAACUUAACUAAGCCAAAAACAAUGUGAAUUCCGAUUUAAUUUGACAGCUAAAAUAUUGAAUAAUGGCAAACAUACAUCGCUGUUUCGCUUCCGAUGCCGAACACGAGUGGUUGGUGCUGAUGGAGCAUCACCAGCAAUUUCCUUCUGCAUGUUGGAAGAGUUCGAAACAAAAACACUGACUACCUGUGAAAAUUUAAAAUUGAACUUGAGUACAUCUAGCAUCACCUUAGUCUAACGUCAGAAUACAAAAAAAAGAUAGAAAGACUCUGGCAACUAAAAAUCAUUGAUAAGCCAAAAAAAAAGUCGAGUAAAUUUAGAAUCAAUUUGCAAAUAUAAGUAGAAAACUCAUCUGAAUCAAUCAAUGACAUGUACUUAUAUCAAUAACAUGUACUCCAAACUCUCUCACCAAUAAAUGCUUUUAUUAAAACACGGAAACAAAAUCACCAGCAUUCUAAACAAUUUGAAGCUUGUACUCUCAUAGGUAGUUGAGCAACCCAAACAAAAAACCAUCCAAUUGAUUCAUUGAAACUCUUUAAUAACACUCAAUAUACAACAAUUCAAACUUGAACUUGAUAAAUUCCCCAUAAGUAAACGCUCUCAGUAGGAUUUUUCACUCAAAAUUUUAUUGAAUCUAAAGCAAUGAACAUAAGUGAUUCACAGAGAAAUACAAUUAAACAGGAAAAAUGGGACAAAUACGAGUAAAAUCGGGAAUAAAACCCAAAUUUAAGCAGCCGAAAUACUUAUGGAAAUACUGGAAAUCUUCACUAAUGGUGUCAGUAAUCACACGAGCUAAGGAGAAUAACAAAGAGGAACCAAUACUAGUUUCUCGUGGAGAUCUGAGGAUUGAGGAGACGAAACACAUAUCUAAACAAAACUAUGUACAUAUGAUUCAGGAAUGAGGUAAAUAAGGAAGAGACGUGAAACCUGCUUUCGUGAGCUCAGUUUCUACUGUGCCAGAGCGAGAGAGAAUGAGAAGACGAGGAAGAAGAUGGAGCAGAGAAAUCGAGUUGAAGAAAACUAAGUAGAAGACGAAAAUGAUUCUCCUUAUUUCUCGAAUCUUUUAACUUUUGAUUCUAGAAGCCACAAUUAAUAAAGGGAUAUAAUAUUUUAAUUAAAGGUAAAGGUCCUCCUCUAUAUUAACUUGAAAUGACAAUUAAAAAUUCGAGAAUAUUAUGAACUCUUUUCUACAAAGUUGCAAAUUGUUACCUUGUUAUGUUCAAUGCUCAUAAUCUUCCAGAAUUGGUUAAUGAAAACAAAAAAAGAAUCAAUUCUUUUUUUGGACGAUGGAAUAGAAUAGAAUCGCCAAAAGUAGAGAUAGUGAAUUAGAUUCUAUUCCUCUUUCAUUGUUACAAAUAAAUUCGAAAAACAGCCACUUCUAUAUUAAGGGAACUCACAUGUGUUUUUUACUACAAAAUUUCAAAAGUUUGAGAAUUUGAAGAGGUCGCUUUCUUUCAAUAUGCGUUUUUAGUUUUUACCAAAAGCUCUUCCCAAAACUCAUAUAUGUGUUUUUUUACCAAAGGUUUUUCACUAUGAUACAACAGGCUCUCUAUCCUUUAAAGGGGUCCAAAAAUCUUUUUCCAAAAGAGUUGUGAAACAAAUCUCUAAUCUCAUUCCAAGAUAAAACUGGUCACUUUUACUCUUAAACCAAAUGAAGUCAGUUUCUUUCCAGGGCUCUAUUCUUCCUGCUGCUCAUAUAUCUGCAUGUAUGCUUCCGAUAGUUCUACCAUCUGGGGAAGUGUCUCUGCAACAUGAAGAUCCUGCAUCUCGUACCUGCAAUGGACAUUAUCCCCCAAAUGAAUUUAUAUCUUUCUUAUGCACAGAUCUAGAUCAUGCAUUUGUGAACAUGAAACACAAUAAUAGUUAAUGAUUGAGAAAGCUUACCAUAGUUCUUGUGACUUGCGCUGCACAAAGACUCUGAAGUACCCGUCCUCAGGCUUACCAUCAUGUACAAUGUUAGCGAUUAGAUUAUACUUUGAACACACAUUCUCCCCUUCUGGUGCUCUAGGCAAUGAUGGUAUGUAAUCCCUCAGCUCCAUGUCCUUCACUGGGAAGUUAACUGUGGCAUAGAAAAAGAAAUUGUAUCAAAUUAACCAGGUAUUAGGGGAUCCUUAUACAGCAUUAACGUCACAAAAAUUUCAAACAGACUCACCCAAUGUAGGGUUCUUCUCUUUGAAGAAGUUAUUCUUCUUGAACCGAACCAUAUGGAACAUCAAGUAACGAGGAGAUUUGAUUACACGGUAUCUCAUUCUGGCCAGCUUAGGCCGAACCACCUCUGUCACCGUUUCUCCAUCAAACUUCUUCAAUAAAUCGAAUAGAGCAACCUGACCCAAAAAUCAAAGAAAUUAGAUUCCACUAACCUCACUUUGCAAACUAAACACUCUAAGACGCAUAUACGAGGUAGCAAGCCAUAAAGGCUACAGGAGCUCCAAACAACCAAUGAGUCAGAGAAUUCUACACUUUCGCAAGUCAUGAACUAGAUUCGAAAAAGAAAGUUUACUCCAGGACAUUAAAUUGGCAAUGGCACUAUUUAAGAAUCCCUUAAUUGUAUCUCAACCAAAUGUGACAUUAUUUAUGUAGCUGUAUAUUGAGAAUCAUAAGUUUUCUAGCACUCCACGUUAUCAUUUUUCUGAAAUGCAUUUUUUUAAUGGCACAAAGUAGCAAGACUUUCAAGAUUUGAAAUAGCCAUAUACCUGCGGAAUAAUGUUUUUCUCCAUGACAUCUUUGAAAAGAGGAGGCGGUGGCAAAUCUAGCCCAAGCAUCAGAAACGGCAUCCUGGAGAUUUCUUUGUUUUCAUUGCCUUGAUACUCUUUCACAACCUCCAACUCACCCUGUAAUGGUUAACAGGUUACAUGAGAUACAGCUUUUUUGUAAGAAAUUAUAUCAAACUGCAUUAUGUUGACAUUUCAAAGGACGGACACAUACCUGGAAGCACUUGUGGAUGAUACUGCUAGCGUCCUUUGAAGUUCUAAGAUCCAUGUGCAAAGUGUUGAGGAGCCACGACAUAAACUCUACUGGAUCUGAUUGUUGGCCAAUCCUAAAGCGUUUCUUGCUGGCUUUCAUGACAGCUUGCAAGAACUCAUGUGGACUCACCUGUUGAUGCAAGGUAACUUAAAUUAGCGAGGUCCUCAAUAGGUGAGUGCAUAACAAAAACUAAAAAAGUGAGAGGCAUAAAUUGAGUCAGACUUGUCCUUUAAAGUUUCGAGCAUGCCAAAUCUUGCGAGUUAGUUCCCCAAAACGGUGACCAAGAGGAGACUUGCAGUGCUGAUAAUUUUCAGGAAUGAGGAAGAAAUUCCUUAGAGGAGUAACUCUCAUCAACGACUGGAUUGUAACAUUCACAAACUCUGUCUUUUGUAUGUUGUUCAACCCCACCUACAUAUUUACAAGCUUAACCUUUAGGAGACAUUAAUUUCAAGAUCAAGUGUAAUCAAAGAGAAAGGAUUACCAUUCCUGGAAGAUAGUCGGAGCCAUCAAGAGCCCUAGACCACUGCCUAUUCUUGUCAAGCUCGUUUACUUGUGCUCUACUAAACCUGUAAAUGGAUAGCACCGAAGCCUUCAUACAAAGGAACUGAAAAAUCAAAGAAAAAUUGACAAAACAUGAAAGAAGAGUAAUAUGUUCAAGCUAUCAUGCAAAAAAAUAUAAAUAGAUGGUAGAUGAUACAGAGAACUAGUAAGAAGAAACUGAUUGAGAUAAUAGUCAAAGCAAUUUUGUUGUUGUUAACUACGUGCAAAGGCUCACAUGUUCACAAAUCAAUACCCAAAAUGCAGUAAGAACUAUGAUGUAGUUAGUCACAAGAUCUAAUAUACCUUGGGUUUAAAACAUGGCGAAUGUCAUCCAAAGAAGGGUCAUUGAUCUCGUAACUAUCAGGAAGACAAUAAACCUUCUCUGUCAGAAGAUUGAUGUAAACGUGGUGUCCUGCUUCCAAGCUAUGUGUAUAAGCAUGAGACUUCUGGCUUCUUCCUUGAAAGUACUUCCCACAAACAAGACACGCAUACACAUUCAGAUUUGACAAUGAGACAGAGCAAAACCUCUCGAAAUCAAAAUCCAACACCUGAAAUCAACCAUAAGAUAUGAGUUUAAACGCUAAUCUCAAACCAGCAAUAUAAUGAACCUAGCAGAAGCUUAAAGAUCCACCAUAGAUUAGAUACAUUACAAGUACCAAACACAAGAAAUUGGUCAAUGAUAUACCUGACGAUUAACAGUAUCAAGAUAAGGACAAUCACGACGAACUUCAACAUGGCGUGAAUGCUUUCCUCUCCCCUUCGAAGCAUCAUCAUCAUCAUCUUCGUCGUCAUCGACCUCUACUUGAGCUUCUCCUUUCACUUUGUUACCAUUUCCCUCUCCUUUCGCAACUACAUUACAACGAGUUUGCGAUUUAUUCUGCUGGUUAUUAUCAUCAUCGUAAGCAUUAGCAAACGGCAAAAGAGGAUUGUUGAAACCUAGUGGUGGAGGUGGCGAAUCAGACCGUUCCAUCACUCUCUUCCUCUUCACCUCUCUCUCUUCCUCAGAAACACCAUUCUUCACUUCUCUUUCACCUUUCAUUCUCAAAAUUUUCCCUAAGCUAAAGCUUGCUUCAAAAACCUUAGAACACAAAAUCCCAGCGAUUCACGAAGAAUCCUCAACCAAAGAAGCAAUGAACUCUUCCAAAAAACGCCAAAUACUUCAAAUCAGAAGCGUCGACAGUCGCGAAUCUACUCGAACUUAUCUCUCGUUCCCAAUUUUCUCGAGAAACUUCAAAAUCCGCCACAACGCAGACGUUAAACAAACAACCUAUUAAAGCUUCAAGAGCCGACUCAAGUCUCACCCAGAUUGAUUAACUCGGUUAAAAGGCCGAAUAUUUAUUAUUGGGCCACACUGUUAUAGCCCAAUAACAAUCUGUUCCAUUUAUAUUACUUCUGUCAGCAGUAUUCAGUAAUUGAUCUGUAUUCACGAUCCGAUACUUAUCGAAUAACCAUUAAUACCCUCAAGCUUCUCGAAGCAAACUAUAAACGCGUGAAAAUCUACAAGGACGUAUUCGACAUUCCACGAGUAAAGAGAUGAGUUCUGAAGUUAAAGCCAGCUGGCGAAGAAGUAAAAAAGCAAAUAGAUUAGCCAAAAUACGACAACACCCUCUACCUACAAGCCAUAGAUACCAUGACUCAUAAGGGCAACACCGACAUUUGUCAUCAUUUGAUAAAUCUAACCAACCCUGAAGGGCAUAUUCGUCUUUCCAAAUAGUUAUAAAGAGACAGAGACGAAGAAGGAGAGAGAGAAAGAGACAAGAUUAGAGAAGAGGAUAAGAGAGAGAAAGAUAUAGAGAAUUUGUUGUCUUUUUUUCUUUUUCUUUUGUGGGGUAUUUGUUUUUUUUUUUCUCCUUAAAAAGUUUUUUUUUUUGUGUGUAUGAAAAAAAAAGCUUUGAAAUUCUCUCUCGACAAUGGUGUCGGACCAGGAUCUAGCGAAAGGAGUCGAGACUUUGCUUCGACAAUCCGACCCUAGCUCUCUCACAUCGUUAAGCAGUAUUGUUCAGCAGCUUGAAGCUAAGUUAGGGUUAGACCUCACGGAGAAGACGACUUUCAUCAGAGAUCAGAUCAAUAUCCUCCUCCGUGCUCACCAAAACCCUUCUGCCUCCGUCGCCUCCGCUUCAUCCGUACAACAAUCUCACCCUCCUCCUCCGCCGUCUUCUCACCAGCAGCAGAAUUUGCAUUCCGGCGUCAAUGUUCCUCCGAUGGCGAAAGGGCAUUUCACACUUAGCCAUCCUUCGCAAUUCUCUGUUUCUUCUCAAUCACAACAAUAUCCUUCACAUUUCGCUCUUCAGCCUCCUUAUCACUCUUAUGACCUAAAUUUCCGGCAGCCUUAUCCGGUUUACAUGCCGCCGCAACAGCACCAGCAUCAGCAGCAGUCUCCGCGACAACAACAAUCCUCUGUGAUGCUCUCACAUGGCGGGAAUGCUUCUCUAUCUGUUAAUCAAGCCCCAAAAGAAAGGUAGGGUUUGCAACAUAUUUCAAAUGUUGGUACGUAAUUUUGCUCAAGGUUGUUCCAAUUUCAGUAAUUUAGGGCUUUUGCUACUUUCAUGGAAAACAUGAUUUUCCAUUUUAGGAAUGUCUAAAUCUUUUGUCAAUUUUGUUCAUUUACGGGUUUUUAGGUUUUACAUGCUCAUGUUUAGAAUUAUCAUCCUGUGAUAUUUUUAGCACAUUGAUUCAUACAACGUUCUAUUAUAGUGUGAUUAUUUCUUUCUGAUCUACCUAAAUUUGGCACAUCAACGAAAUUUGUCAACUUUUCCUUUGCAGUGCUCCGGCUGGAACUAAAAGAAAGGGUGGUCCUGGAGGACUAAACAAAGUCUGUAGGGUUUCUCCAGAACUUGAAGUAGUUGUUGGUGAACCUGCUCUUCCUAGAACUGAGGUUAUCAUUGUCUUUCAUUUAUGAUUAUAAUGUGUAUAAGCAAUUGUGGUUGUUAUUUAUGUGUUGCUGUGUUUGGCUUUUGGUUUUAGAUUGUGAGGCAAUUGUGGGCUUAUAUAAGGAAGAAUAACCUUCAAGACCCGAGUAACAAGCGGAAGAUCAUCUGUGAUGAUGCGUUGCGUGUGGUUUUUGAGACUGAUUGCACUGACAUGUUCAAGAUGAAUAAGUUGCUUGCUAAGCAUAUUCUCCCGCUUGAUCCAUCAAGUAAUGGUUAAACACAAGCGUUUUUUGCUGAGUUCCAACUGUGCUUGGUUUGUUCAAGGUUACUGACUGUUUGAGUCACUUUUGGCAGAGGACUCUGGUCAAGCAAAAAAGGCAAAAACUGAGGUGGAGACUAAGACUGAGACCACCGAGCCUAUUAGUUCAACUGCUAUUAGUUCAACUGUUACAUUAUCUGAGCCACUUGGUAAGUUCUUUGGCACUGGUGAGACGGAGAUGGCAGACGAAGAGAUUAUUCGCCGUGUUUGGGAAUACAUAAAACUCAACAAUUUAGAGGUAAUGAUUUUAAUCUUGAAAUCCUCUGGUUUCUCCUUAUUGCUUCGAAUUUUUUUCCUGUUUGCUGCUAACUAAAGCUGGUAUUGUGGUUUACUCUAUAAGAUAAUUUACAGUAUAGGAUUUCACAUAACUUUAUGUUAUAGAGCAUAGUGAAUGGCCAUAAACAAGAAAAUUAAGAUUUGUUUAUUCUGCUUUUCAAUUUUCUUUCAGGACCCAGUAAAUCCAAUGGCUAUUCAGUGUGAUGAAAAGCUCCGAGAUCUUCUUGGAUGUGAAAGCAUUUCAGCUGUGGGGAUAAAUGAGAUGCUGAGGCGCCAUAUGUACAAGCAGUCGUGAUAUCUUCUGGUCUGACUUAAUUAACUAGGAACUACUAGUGUAAGUGAAGUUUGAUUUAACAGAUUAUGAUACUUAUAUAUCAGCAUUGUCCAAAUAUGGUAAUUGACUUCUGUAUCACAACUCUCUUGCAGGUGUGUAUCUAGGGAACCUACUUAUGACUCCUUGCUGUAGAACUCUGAUAGGGAAGAAAAGAUCCUUUUCACUUUUAACUUCCUUUAAUGCUAUUUUAAUCUUCCGUUGGGUUCUUUGUUUUAGUUGGUUGUGUAUCGACAUGCUUAGGUUGAUGUUGUAUUUAGUAUUGUACCGAAACUCUAGUGUUAAGGGUGAAACGGCGCAGAUGUUUUGUAUUAAACGCCAUUCACCCAUGAAUGUCUUAGGAAAAAAAAACUCAUGUGUUUAACUAUGUUUUCCCUGUUGGAAAUAUUUGCAUCCUACUGAUAGAAAAAUCUUAUUCCCUAUGCUAUGGUUUUUUUUCCUGCUAUCUUCCAUGUUAUUUGCUGUGUUUUUAUCAGAAUCUCAGACGUGUGACGUAGAAAGCGGCUGCAGCAAGCAGCAGAAGAACAAGUAGCAGGAGUGCCAUUGCUUGUCUCCUUGUGUUUUCUGCUUGUCUCAAGAAAGUGACUAUCUUCUCAGCAAUACUCACUGCAAACGCCAUAGUUCUCUGCAUCAGAAGACAAAUGAGAAACCACAAUAGGUAAGUAAGUGAAUCACAUGAUGACAUAAAUCUUAUGAACAUGACAGACUCACUAGUCUUAGGUGCUCUAUGUGGAAAAUUGGUUCCAUGAACAUCUCCACAUUCCUGCAUUGUUUGGUUUAAAUAUGGUCAUGAUUCACGGGUUAUAAUUGUUAUGAUAACUGAAUUUAGAGUGGAACGAAUACUGACUUUAUCAAUAGCUUUCCCUGGUACAUAUGGCAAAUGUGGAAACUGAAUCCCUUCCCCAAUUGGAUGUGUGACUUGUCACAUUCUGCACAUUACAGGUAAACCGUCAUGAGAACAAUCAUUUCAAUUGGAUUUGUCAAUUUUUAUUUGGUCUUGAUCCUGGUCUGGUGAAAGGAAGGCUUAUUCCGGUUUGGUAUUCUGGAGUGUUUGAAGGUUUUGACUUUCCGGUUUCCUUGACUGACCCAAAUAGGAUCGGUUGCGUAUAAGGUUAUCAGUUAUUCGGAUUAGGAUAUAGGGACUAGGGGACUAACCGAGUUGCCAUUGAACUCCAACGGUCAUGCCAUCUUUGAACGUUGGUUUAACAAUAAUCUUGAUAUCCUUUCCCAGCUUCAUGAUCAACCAGUAGAAGAAAGCCAUAACUUGCUGCAUGUAUAAAACCAUAUUUACCCUUAUAACAUAAGGAUUUCAAAAAUAAAGAUUUGUGAAAGAAAAGUUAUUGUUACCAUUACAACAUAUGCUAACCUUCUUCCCUUGCAAGAGUCGAUACUUAGAUAAAAAGUUGGAAAAGAAUUGGCAUUCAUCUCCAAUAACUUCUGAAAUUCCUUCGAUGUUUCGGUCCUUGAUAUCGGAAUAUAGUUUUAGAACUGUCUCCUCCGCCCGAUAGUCUUUCUCCAUGAUGUUUCGGUCCUUGAUAUCAGUGUAUAGUUUUAGAAUUGUCUCCUUCGCUCGAUAGUCUUCCUUCUUAUCGUCAUUCUCUUCAUCUUCGCUCUCUUCCUGAUCUGAUUUCUCUUCAUCUAUGCUCUCUUCCCAAUCUGAUUCCGAUUUUCUUACCCUUGUGUAAUGCUUCAAAGUGCUUCGAUGUGAGUGUGAUAGAUCCAGAUGAAAACUCGUAUUGGUAGAACCCUUUCGAAUUGACACGCGAGAAUUCUUCGUGUAAAUUGAGCAUGAGCUAAAGCUAUUUAUCCCUGAACAUAGUUUAGAUGAAAACAUUGUUUGCGUAAUUGACAUAUAUGAGGAUGCCAUUGCUUGUAAAAUGGAGGAUGGUUUUGCUGACUACAUAAGAUUGCAAUACUUUAUAAAAAGCUUUGUGAAGAACAUAGAUUUUCAUUUGUAUAAGUGAAGUCUGGAACAAACGAAUAAAAGAAUGUGUUUGUUUGUGGACAAAGCAAAGCGAUGAAAAAUGUAGCAAGUGUUGGAAGAUAAGAAUAAUUUUCGAUUUUUUCGUAAUGGGACUUAAGGAUAGAUCGUUAGUGUAAUAAAUAGACAGUUAAAGAACCAUGACGGCUCUUUACCUGUUAUGUCUCAAUACAAACCAAGCAGUGCUUGGCAAGCACCAAAAUAAAAAUCUAAGAAACUCAAUUGUACAAAUGAGCGAUGAUGAUCCACAUACUAAGCAUUAACACCAGUCACAAUACAUUCUUCAAAUAGGUAAAUCACACAAACUAACUUCAGUCAGAGCCAUUCCACAUUGCAGAGACUCUUCAUACUGAGCAGAAAUCCUUAGAUCAGGAGCUUCUCAAUUGCAUCCUUGAGAUGCUGAAUCUGCGAUUUCAACUGGCUUGCCUCAUUCGAUGUCACUGAACAAGCAAUAACAGGUCUUGUUACUCCACAUGCUCUUCCCAAUGCUUGUUUCGAAGGUACAAACACAUAUGGCACAUUCUGCAUUUAGAUGGAGAGUACAAAAAAGCGUUAGUUCAAAAUCAGACCACGUAAUAAUUGCUUGUAUAGUAAUGAAGCUUGUUCAAAUAGGAUAAACUAUAGCUAUGAUGAAUCAUGUCUUCCUCAAGAGUGAACUCAAAGCUACAAUUUUUAAACAUAAACUAGGAGAAACUAUAGCUAUGAUGAAUCAUGUCUUCCUCAAGAGUAAAUUUGAAGCAUACACCAAUAAUUACAUAGAUACAAUGAUUCAAUUGAAGACCAAAACAGAGUAAACAGAGAAAGUUUCCUGAAAGAACUCAACAGAGAAAAGUAUGUUCAACACAAAAUUGCAUAAAGCUAAGAAUGGCUUCUUAAGCUUCUAACAACCACCAAAAUCUGAGAAACACUAACCUAACGAUACACAGCCUCAAAAAUUGCAACCUAAUAGCUCUCUAUUCUACACGAGUUGAAUUAAAAUUGCAACCAAAUCAUCGAGAGAGAGAAAGAGAUGGUAACCUUAUCUUCGGCAAGCAAAGGAAGAUGAAGAAGAAUCUCAAGUGGUUCAGCAUCAGCAGCCAUAACAACGAACUCAGAGAUUCCACGGUUCAAUGUUUUGGUAGCUUCAUUAGCUCCCUUCUUAAGCUGCUUGUAGUUAGUAGCUUGUUGAACAAGAUCCAUUAUUGUUAUCGAAAGCUGAGAAUCUGCUAACGGAUACGCCUUAGGGUUCACUACCUCUCCCGUCAUCUUCUUCGUUCUCAAUAAGCUCACAGAAAGAAAUUAGGGUUUUUGAAGGAUUUGAGAAUGUUUACAAAUCUGUCCUUAACCCAAAAAAAGAAGAAGGUAUAUAUAUAGAAACAUGACUCGGGUCGGGUUUUCGGGUUUCGCUUCGGAUUGGUGAAUCUGGGACCAAACCGACCUUUGAUGUCGGUUAUUUCUGUCUUAUUUCAAUUAUUUCGGUUUAGUUCGGUUUAUGUUUGUCCAAUUUGGACUAUUUGACAUCUCUUUUAAAUAAACGAUGUUGUGUUUAGGUUUAGCUAUAGACGAUUUACGUUCAUAACAUUGCGUUCUCUAAACUCUAGUAGAUCCUCUUCAUCAACAAUAUUUGCGACUAGAUUUACUUUUGAUUGAGAUUGAUAGUUUCAAGUCAUAUCAAAUUGCAAAAGACCAUACUGAUAAGAGUUUUACAUAUAAAUUUCAGUCGAUUACAUAUAGAAGAACACUAUCUUAUUAUUUCCUUACGACAUCAUACUACGUACAUAGGGUUAAGCUUAUUAGUACUAAGAUCUCACAUGGGUUUAGGAUUUUGCCAUAUCCUUUCCCCCUGCCACUGCUACUGUUACUGUACCUGAAAUCAAACACAGAUCAAGAUUUUCUUCUACAUGUUUCAAACUCAAAAACACUUGAAAUAGUCAGAUUUUAGAUAAAGCUCCUAAGCUUGUUUAUGUUAAACUAUGAUAAGAUUGGAAAUCUCACAUCGAAAGAAAAGAAGAUGCCAACUUAAGGAAAUACUCAAGAUCUUUAGAUCCAUUUCACUUACCUUAAUCUAAUGUUUGGGCUCAGAAGUUUCCCUUGCUUUGCUCAUAGCUUCAGCUUGAAUCCCUUGGACAGAAAACCAUCCCUGAGAAUGUAACACAAGAUGUUUAAGCAUGUUGAUACGGUUAAACCCUUUCUACAAUUCUUCAUGGAAACAAACUGCGUAAGAAAACACUAACUAGAGAAGGGCAUACCACCUUUUAGUACUCUUUGGCAUCAUCUUCUGAUCUUUACUGCGCUGAGCUUGAGUAGGAUCUCCUUUACAUCCCAAAACAAGGCUACUCACGAGGAUGUCUGCGGUAAAUGAACUAUCACACUCUAUUCCGGCAGUUGUAAGACUCUGACUUUCCAAAUCAAACCACAUGAGAUUCGCCGCAUUGUUAAUCUCCAGCAAAAUCUUGCUCCUGUCCUUGGAACAGAUCAGAGGUCUAAUGAACUCAACCGAUUCAACACUCUCUGGUUUCGGCACCCUAUACAGCUUAGUCCAAGAUUUAUAAUCCUCAUACUCUUUCAAAACCCAAACAUCAACAUGGCUAUACUCGUCGUAACACAUCAAACAAACGCAGCCAUCUAACACACCAAUAUCCAUGUUAUCUUCAAUGUAAAGCUCCUGUGGGAAACUGAGGACUCCAAUGUCAUCAGAGGCAAGAUCAUAUUUGAUUAUCGCGUUAAAGGCAAUGACUCCCUGCCUUCGAGGCAAAAUCCAGUGAAGAUGGUUGUUAACAACCACACCAUAGCCACGACGAGGCAAGAGAUGGUAAUAGUACGAAAUCCAAAGAAUCUGAAACUCGAACAUAAGACACACUCUCUUCCACGAAUUCUUCUUCAAGCUGAAAACUUUGACUUCAACAGGGCAAGGAAAUUUCUUUUUACCUUCUUUAAGCUUACACUGAACAAUCCUCACAACUUUAAAGUCAUCGCCCACAGAAUCAUAACCCAAACCGUAAAACACAUACUCACGAGUGAUGUCACGUUCUGGGAAAUCAAUUGGCUCAAUUGGUAAACGGUGAAUCUUCCUAGUCGAAGGAUUAAAGAUCGCUAGAUCAACAGGAGAGUUACAUAACCCUAUGACACCGUUAAAUGAACCAAAAACCUCUGUAAAACCUCCGGCUUGUAAAGGAUGAGGGAUGUCGGAGACGUUCUCAGGCGAGUCUAGCUCCACCGUGCGUAGAAGACGAGGUCCUCGGAGUAAGAUCAUGAGAUGUUCUCCCGUUUCGAGUCUGCGACGGAGAUGAGAUGAGACGAACUCGGGACUGUCGAUCAAAGAGAAGCAAGGCUUUGAGAGGACGCGACACUUUACGAGCGUAGUUGCUCUGAGACGGAGAAACAUUUCGUUGAUGAGAUCCGUCGGACAUUCCGCCAUUUCUGUUCUCCGGAAGAAAAUUGACGUUAGAGAGGAAUUAGGGUUUCAGAGGAUUUGAGAGAUGAAUUUUCGAGUCCAGCUCUCGAGUGUUGAGACAUGAGAAGUCUUUAGCUGUAAAUGUUUCCGGGUUUUUGUUGGUUCGGGUUGAUAAAAUUGAUCCGAACCGAAAUUAAUUCGGUUUAUUUCUAUCGAAUUCUGAUUCUUCGGUUUAAGUUCGGUUCUUUUGGUCCAAUUUGGUUGUGUCUCGAUUUGAUAUUGGAUUGAGGUAAGAGACCGUUAAAAGAGACUUAUCAAUGGCGGGAGAUCUGGUGCUUGACACGGCGAUCUGAGACUGGGUUUUGAUCCCUCUCUCCGUCGUGUGGUUCUUAUAGGAAUUCUCCGAGACUUCGUUUCUAAGCUCAUGCGAUCUUCUCCGACUACUUUUUAUCUUUCACCUCUCACAUCUUAUUUCUUUGUCUACAUCAACUUCACAAACAUCUUCCCUCGAAUCACACCAUUAUUAUUAAUAAUUUCGUUAAACUUACAAACUAGAACUAAAAAUUUUUAUAAAUUGUUGCUUGGGUUCCUUAUUUUCUCUUAGGGUUUAAUUUUUUUCUAAUUAAAAAUAAUCAAAAUCUUAUAGGAUUUGAAUGUAUUUUUAUUCAUAAAAGAUGAAAAAACAAUCCAAACAUUUUAUCAAGUAUUUCAAAAUGUACGUAAAACAUUGAACUUUAAAAUCAAACCCACAUAUUAUCAAGCCAAUUCAAGUCCAUUAAAAACCUCAAUCUAAUAACAACUCCUUAAUCUCUCUUUACGUACAUUUAAGAGAAAAGUAGUACUAGAUCUGUUACUUAACUGGCAUGCAUCAUCAACAUUAAUCUUAUGUUUGUUUUGUUGUUGAAUGAGAUAUUUCCCAUCCACCAAGGGUUUGUUGUAUACUUGUAUGUGCAAGAGAUAUGUUGACUAGACUAUCAGAAGAAUUCAUACGAAAUGUUUUUGUAGAUAGAGUAAAGCAGAUAUAAAUGUGAGUGUCAAACAAAACUUAACUUGUGAAGGUAUGUUAUUCCAAAUUUCCCAAUUCAACCUUUACUUUUGUGUCCUUACGUCUCCAAAAAAUUAUUACCGUCUUUGGUAACUUGAUAACGUGACGAGCAUGGACUAUAGGGUACGUGGAAAAAGAAGAGAAAGUGUAACAAACUUAAAAAUUGACGGCUAUGAUAAAGUCUUAAUUAUUAAAGUUUGUUACUUAAUACAGGAUUACUUGGAAAUAUGGUGGCGGGAGAGCGCGUCACCAUGGUGAAUGAGAUAAAAAGCACGAAAUCAUAAUCAUAUUUUUUCUUUCUAGUUUUUUUUGUUAAUUUAAUUUUAGUAAAGUGUGUGUUAAUGUAUUUCUGACGAAAAUAAUUCACUAGGCUAACCUCUAACUUGAAGUUAUUGUUUAGUUCUUCUAUAAAACAUGGAUUCUCUUCAUUCGAUCUUCCCACACAACACUCAUUUAUUAUAUUUAUCAAACGAAAUUUCUCUCUUCAAACAAAAAUCAAUCACUAAAAGAGGACUGCUCGAUCUCUUCAAAAUGUAUGUAUCUAAACCAACUACCCUCUUCCAUUCUUUUUCUAUCAUAGUUUGUGUUAUCACUGUGAUUCCUCUCACAAUGUUAAUUAUAUUCUCGCUAUCAUUUCACUAACUCAUUUCUUGCAAGGAUUUUCUUUUUAAAAAUGUAGCUAGCAACAAAAAAAACAAUCUUCCAUUUUUUUAUUUGUUAAUUCUUUUAAUUUAUGCUGUCAUCUCACUUGUCUCAAAUUUGUUUCUCUUGCAGGGAUCCAUUGGGAAAUUUGCCUGCAGAUCUCAUCAGAAAAUGUACAGAUUUGAUGGACUUGAACUUUGCCGAAGGUCAGAGACUAAGAACCCUCAACAAGAACUGGAAGCUAGCGUUACCUUCUUUCCGUAAGGGAGCUUACAGAGAGGAAAGGCCUUGGUUGCUUUACCGUGAAAGGGGUUCCGGAGAGACCCGUUUCUUUGACCCUGUGAGAGAGAGGGUACAUCGUGGGAACGACCCACGUCUUGCAGAUGCAAGAUUCUUGGGAUCAACAUUGGGUUGGCUUGUUAUGUCCGAGUCCUUGGACUUAAACCCACGCAAAACCCACCAAACUUUCCUGUACAACCCGUUCAUUUCAGAACUGCAGCAACUACCCGAACUCACCCUUGAUAGCCCAUAUCCCACGGGUGUACUCCGUUACGGUGUACUCACCGGAAAUCCAAGUGACAACAACACUUAUGCUUGCCUCAUAACAGAUUACUUGCACGAAAUUGGUAAUCGGAGGGAUACUUAUACGCUACUAAUUUACUAUGUAGCCAAGACGAGCGGACGAUGGGAGCAGAAUUGGUCCGUGGCUUCUAUGCUAGUCGUUGGCAUUUUCGAUACUUGGUAUAUAGAGUCCAUCUCCCCAUCUCCGGACAAAAUAUCAAUUGAAAUAUGGCCCAAACGUUAUGACUUCACCUUCCAAACCCAAGAGUGGAAUGUCUCAAACUUUAUUCCAGUGGAUCCUAUCCAAUGGGAUCCUUUCCACGACCAAUCUUUAUAUCAUGUGAAACAUCGACUUCAGUUACCAGAAAAUCCCUCUACUCUAGCCAUAAUUAUCGGCACUUCAACUGAUCGCACGAGAGUGCGCAACAAGAUUAUAGGUGAUCAAUCUGAUGAUGAUGAUCCUAGGGCUUCUGAUCACAUUAUUGACGGAGUUUGGGUUGAGGUUCGCCCUUAGCCUGAUGUUCUUCUCUUUAUAAGUAUAUAUAUCUACCUCAUGACUAGUUAAUUAUUUCUUCGUUUAAGUAUCCUUUUACUUUGUGUAAGUUUAAGAUUUGUGGUAUUUACUAUUUUAUUAUUUUGUUGCAAACUCUACUUAUUCUGGUUUAUGUAAUAACUCUACUUUACUUUGUUAAUAAAAAUGCUGAUCUUUUAUUAAUUUAUUUUUACGUUAAAAUCUAAUAGACAAACAAAGAAGAACACACCUUCUCCCCUUCUGGUGCUCUAGGCAAUGAUGGUAUGUAAUCCCUAAGCUCCAUGUCCUUCACUGGGAAGUUAACUGUGGCAUAGAAAAAGAAAUUGGGUCAAAUUAACCAGGCAUUAGGGAAUCCAUCUACAACAUUAACGUCACAAAAAUUUCAAACAGACUCACCCAAUGUAGGGUUCUUCUCUUUGAAGAAGUUAUUCUUCUUGAACCGAACCAUAUGGAACAUCAAGUAACGAGGAGAUUUGAUUACACGGUAUCUCAUUCUGGCCAGCUUAGGCCGAACCACCUCUGUCACAGUUUCUCCAUCAAACUUCUUCAAUAAAUCAAAUAGAGCAACCUGACCCAAACAUCAAAGAAAUUAGUUUCUGCUAACCUCACUUUGCAAACUAAACACUCUAAGACGCAUAUACGAGGUAGCAAGCCAAUAAAGGCUACAGGAGCUCCAAACAACCAAGGACUCAGAGAAUUCUACACUUUCCCAAGUCAUAAACUAGAUUCGAAAAAGACAGUUUACUCCAGGACAGUAAAUUUGCAAUGGCACUAUUUAAGAAUCCCUUUAUUGUAUCUCAACCAAAUGUGACAUUAUUAUAUUGAGAAUUAUAAGUUUUCUAGCACUUCACGUUAUCUUAUUGAUCAAAAUGUUCCCCUUACUGAAAUGCAUUUUUCAAAUGGCACAGAGUAGCAAGACGUUCAAGAUUUGAAAUAGCCAUAUACCUGCGGAAUAAUGUUUUUCUCCAUGACAUCUUUGAAAAGAGGAGGCGGUGGCAAAUCUAGACCGAGCAUCAGAAAAGACAUCCUGGAGAUUUCUUUGUUUUCAUUGCCUUGAAACUCUUUCACAACCUCCAACUCACCCUAUAAUGGUUAGAAGGUUACAUGAAGAUGCAGCUUUUUGUAAGCAAUUAUAUCAAACUGCAUUUAGGUUGACAUGUCAAAGGACUGACACAUACCUGGAAGCACUUGUGGAUGAUACUGCUGGCGUCCUUUGAAGUUCUAAGAUCCAUGUGCAAAGUGUUGAGGAGCCACGACAUAAACUCUACUGGAUCUGAUUGUUGGCCAAUCCGAAAGCGUUUCUUGCUGGCUUUCAUGACAGCUUGCAAGAACUCAUGUGGACUCACCUGUUGAUGCAAGGUAACUUAAAUUAGUGAGGUCUUCAAUAGGUGAGAGCAUAACAAAAACUAAAAAAGUAAGAGGCAAAAUUGAGUCAGACCUGUCCUUUAAAGUUUCGAGCAUGCCAAAUCUUGCGAGUUAGUUCCCCAAAACAGUGAACAAGAGGAGACUUGCAGUGCUGAUAAUUUUCAGGAAUGUGGAAGAAAUUCCUUAAAGGAGUAACUCUCAUCAACGACUGGAUUGUAACAUUCACAAACUCUGUCUUUUGUAUGUUGUUCAACCCCACCUACAUAUUUACAAGCUAAACCGUUAGGAGACAAAUUAAUUUAAAGAUCAAGUGUAAUCAAAGAGAAAGGAUUACCAUUCCUGGAAGAUAGUCGGAGCCAUCAAGAGCCCUAGACCACUGCCUAUUCUUGUCAAGCUCGUUUACUUGUGCUCUACUAAACCUGUAAAUGGAUAGCACCGAAGCCUUCAUAAAAAGGAACUGAAAAAUCAAAGAAAAAUUGAGAAAACAUGAAAGAAGAGUAAUAUGAAAAAAUAUAAAUAGAUGGUAGAUGAUAUAGAGAACUAGCAAGAAGAAACUGAUUGAGAUUAUAGUCAAAGCAAUUUUGUUGUUUUUAACUACGUGCAAAGGCUCACAUGUUCACAAAUCAAUACCCAAAAUGCAGUAAGAACUAUGAUGUAGUUAGUCACAAGAUCUAAUAUACCUUGGGUUUAAAACAUGGCGAAUGUCAUCCAAAGAAGGGUCAUUGAUCUCGUAACUAUCAGGAAGACAAUAAACCUUCUCUGUCAGAAGAUUGAUGUAAACGUGGUGUCCUGCUUCUAAGCUAUGCGUAUAAGCAUGAGACUUCUGGCUUCUUCCUUGGAAGUACUUUCCACAAACAAGGCAUGCAUAUACAUUCAGAUUGGACAAGGACACAGAGCAAAACCUCUCAAAAUGAAAAUCCAACACCUGAAAUUCAACCAUAAGAUAUGAGUUUAAACGCUAAUCUGAUAGAUAUGGACUCAACGGAUACUAAGAACAAGAGUAAAAACAGAGUAAACUAAUUCUAUUGCGCCGUUUUUGACGGAGAACAAGAUGAGAAGAGAAUUAAUAACUUUAAUGUUAUAAGUUUUGAUGAUUGUUUUUGGUAAGGUUGCCCUAAAGAGGCAAAGACCUUUAAAUACAACUCGAAAUAGACAAAAUGCUGAGUUUAAUAAAAGAUAGAGAGAUGGUGAAAGACUCUAGAUGAACAAGAGUCUUUCUAUGCCUUCUUCUUUCCUUCGUCUCUUAGCCACUUUUCUUCAAGACCUUUUUCAAAUACUUCUCCAUAGCUUUAGCUUUUCUCCCGCCAGUUCUCAUUCUCUUUCUCAUAGUAGCUAGUGGAACCCUUAGCCUAUCAAUGCUCCCUCGCAGAAGACCGAUCUUGUCCUCAAGAUCGAAGCUCGGGAAUUGCUUCACUAGAGUCACUAAUGGCUCCCACGUUGCCUCCAAAGCUGACAUGCCACUCCAUUGAACCAAGACGUCGGCACCGUCUGUUGUUCUACUCUGUCUGAUAUCCAGAAGCUUUUCUGGCUCCGUCGCCCACUCUAAAGAAGGAGUCACAAUCUUGGGCAGUUCUUGAGCAGUGAAAGAGGGAGGAACCGCUGGUUUCAGCUGGGACACAUGGAACACCGGAUGAAUUUGACUGUAAUCCGGUAGCCUGAGUUUGUAUGCGACCUUACCAAUCUUGCUAAUCACCUGGUAGGGUCCAUAGUAUCGCUGCGAGAGCUUCUCGUUUUUUCUGUGUACCAACGACCCUUGUCGAUACGGCCUCAGUUUUAAGUAGACCAAAUCGCCCUCCUUGAACUCAACAUCUCUCCUGUGUUUGUCCGCGACUUUCUUCAUUUGUUUCUGAGCUAGCUCCAAGUUUUCUCUCAGCUCUAGCAACAACCCAUCUCUGUCCUUGAGUAAUUCUUCGACGACUGCAUUUGCUGUAGGUGUGUCCCCAUAUCUGAGAAUUGCUGGGGGCUCUCUUCCAUAAACCGCCAUGAAUGGGGUCGUCUUUGUUGCAGUGUGAUAAGAGGUGUUAUACCAGUACUCGGCCCAAGGUAGCCAUUGCAUCCAAGAAGAGGGUCGUCGGCCUGCAAAGCAUCUCAAAAAUGACUCCAAGCACCUAUUAACAACUUCUGUCUGCCCAUCCGUUUGGGGGUGGUAGGCAGUACUCUUUCUCAAUUCAGUGCCGUGUAUCUUGAAUAAUUCAGACCAGAAGGUGCUGAGGAAGACCUUGUCUCUAUCAGACACCAUUGUAGUUGGAAACCCAUGCAACUUAACAACAUCUCUUAUAAAGGCCUCUGCUACCACCUUUGCAGUAAACGGGUGCUUCAACGGAAUAAAGUGACUGUAUUUGCUUAGCCUAUCCACGACCACCAAGAUGCAGUUGAAUCCUUUCGAAGACGGUAAUCCUUGUACAAAAUCCAAGCUAAUAUCGCUCCAAAUCUGUUGUGGAAUGGGGAAUGGGGAGAGCAAACCCGCGGGUGACAAGGUGGAGUACUUGUUCUCUUGACAGAUUUGGCAUCCUCGAAUGUAUUCCACUGUAUCUUUUCGCAUGCCCUUCCAAUAGACCUCACUAGUGAGUCUCUUGAAAGUCUUCAACGCUCCUUCGUGGCCACCCAUUGCACUAGUGUGAAACUUCUCUAGUAGCUUUGGAAUGAAGGGAGAUCCUGUAGGGAUAACCAAGGCUCCCUUCCUGUAAACCAACCCAGCUUUCACUGAAAAUUCAGAUUCUGUACUCUGCCCUUGUUGCCAAGUAUCAACCAACUGACGCAACUCUUUAUCAGCCAUGAUUUCUUCUUUUAAAGCGCCAAUAUCUAUUGUUUGUGGAGCCGUUAAGGUGAACUGAGCAAACCUUUCCUGCGGUGGUUUCCUAGAGAGAGCAUCGGCCACUUUGUUGUCGACUCCAGGUUUGUAUUCUAUGCGAUACUUCAACCCACUUAGCUUAGAAGCCCAACGUUGUUGAAUAGUUGAUACAGACUUUUGUUCCAAGAGAUGCCUUAGACUUCUCUGAUCUGUCUUAAUAACAAACUCCUUGCUGGACAGAUAAUGUUUCCACUUAGUCAUUGCUCUCACAAUCGCCAACAAUUCUCUUUCAUACACAGAUUUAAUCCGACCUUGACUUGAAAAUGCCUGGCUCAAGAACGCUAUAGGCCUUCUGUUUUGGGACAACACAGCCCCUAUUCCAACCCCAGAAGCGUCCGUCUCCACUGUAAACUCUUGAUUAAAGUCAGGUAAGACCAAUACUGGCAGAUUCGUGACUGCUUCCUUCAGUGCCUGAAACGCUUUUGUGGCUGCCUCAUUCCAUUGGAACCCGCUCUUCUUAAGCUGAUCCGUUAGUGGCCUUGCUAUCUGCCCGUAGUUCUUGACAAACCGACGAUAGUAGCCUGUAAGGCCUAGAAAUCCACGCAACUCUGUGACUGAUUUAGGCAAUGGCCAACACAACAUUGCCUCCACCUUUUCAGGAUCAGCAGAGACACCUUCAGCUGAGAUUAUAUGGCCUAAGUAUGCGAUCUGUGUACUGCCAAAAGAGCAUUUCUUCAAGUUUGCGUAGAGUCGGUGGAGUUUAAGCAGUUGCAGAACUAUCUCUAAAUGUUUCAGGUGAGACUCCAUAUCCGGGCUAUAGACAAGAAUGUCGUCGAAGAAAACUAACACGAACUUCCUUAAGUAUGGCCUAAAGAGGUCAUUCAUAACACUAUGAAAGGUAGAGGGGGCAUUGGUUAAUCCAAAGGGCAUUACCAAGAAUUCAUAAUGCCCUUGAUGAGUCUUGAAAGCUGUUUUCUCCACGUCACUCAUCUUCAUUCUGAUUUGGUGAUAUCCAGAUUUCAAAUCCAAUUUGGAGAAAACUGUGGCUCCCUUUAGCUCAUCUAGAAGCUCUUCUAUUACCGGAAUUGGGUAUCUGUCUGGUAUGGUUGCUUCAUUCAGCGCCCUGUAAUCUACGCAAAACGUCCAGCCCCCAUCCUUCUUCUUAACCAACAACACUGGACUUGAAAAAGGGCUGACACUAGGUCUGAUCACUUGACUUCUCAGCAUCUCAGUGACAAGCUUCUCAAUCUCAUCCUUUUGGUCAAAGGAAUACCUGUAUGGCCUGAGAUUAACCGGAGAGGUACCUUCCUUUAACGUGAUUGCGUGUUCCUUGUUACGUGUAGGAGGCAAGGCCUGUGGCAUCUGAAAUACAUGUUGAUAGUGGUCCAAGAUUUGUUGAAUCAUAGGAGUGAUGGAAGUCUGUUCCUCUUGCGCUUGGUUAUCAAACAGGGAAGCUAGCUCAAGAAGAUAAGCAACUCCUGUAUACUUCACCACUCGUUUCAUGGCUCUCAUCGAAACCUGAUGAGUACUCAAAUCCGGAUCUCCAUACAGCGAAACCCAUGUUCUGCCUAUCUGCCAGCUGAGCCUCAACUAUCCCCAAUUGGCUCUUGUUUCUCCCAACUUUGCUAACCAAGAGAACCCAAGUACUACAUCUAACUCCCCCAAAUCAAACAAGUAGAAAUCUUCUCUGAAUUCGAUGCCCUGGACCUCUAGUCUGACAUCCACACAUUUGCCACUACUUCUAAUUAUCCUGCCACCUCCCGCUCGCACACCAAAACUACGGGUAGGAGUGAUUAUCCAGUCUCUAGCUCUCACCAAAUCUUCGCUAAUGAAGUUACAAGUGGCGCGAGAAUCAAUAAGUAUCACUACUUUAGUUCUGCCUAUGUAGCCUCUCAUUCUCAUGGAGUGUUCUUUUUCUUUUUUCAGUCAGGCAACCUAAUGACAUUACCUGAAAACCUUCUUCAGGUUCACCUUUUUCUUCUGUUAAUGGCUCAUUGAGCUCUUCAAUGAGGGGACUUUCCUCUUGUUCCUCUUCUGUAACCUCUAGGCUCUUGAGUCUUUGCUGCUUGCAGCGAUGCCCUGUAAACCAUCGGUCACCACAAUGACGACAUGGGUUACUAUUGCCUCCAGAAGUACCGCUACCCGAAGCUUUGUUUGUGUCUUUAGUAGGCACAAAAGAUGGUCUAGAUUGUGCUCUUUCAAACGGCCUUGCCACUGCAGUGGUUGGGUUAGGAGGCAAGGUGACUCGCGGUUGAGUCCUCACCUGGUAGCUCGGGUUGUUACCCUCCUGUGCCUCAAUGAGUCUUGCGAUCUCCACAAUAUCGGUGAGGUUUACAGGUCUGCAACGGACAACUUGGUCCUUGAGGCUUCUCCUCAACCCAUUCAAGAAGGCAGAUUCCAAGAUAUCAGCUGUCACAUGAGGUAAGUCUACCACAAGCUCUUCAAAUCUUUCACGAUACUCAUCGACACUCCCUGUCUGCCUUAUGUUCAAUAGGUGAUCAAUAGCCGAACUGCCUCUACUUGGUCUGAAACGCACUCUGAAUUUCUCCUGAAAAUCUCUCCAAGUAUAGAUCUGUUCUCGCUCCUUUGAGCAUCUCCACCAAGUCACUGCUGCUCCUGUCAAACAAGAUAUGGCCUUUUCUAACUUGUCCUCCUCUAGGGUCUGAUUGGAAAGGAAACACUGCUCCAAACGAAAGAGCCAAUCUUCUGCGUUACCACCCUCAUAAGCAGGCAACUCCACCGUCCUUUGUGGUGUCUCUGUUCGAAGACGUGGUGAAGGACACUGCUGUUGUAACGGAGGUGUCUGGAAGGGAACAGGUUACUGGAACUGUAGUCCGGUCUGCAAGCCUGGUUGAUGUUGAAACGGGGGUGUUGAGAAGGCCGGUGGUUCCGAAGAAGACGCCUGAAAGCGGAGAGGCUCCGAAGGAGAAGCCUGAAAUCGCGGUUGGUCUAAGGGUGGAGGACGAAAACGAGUUUCGCGCAGCCGGAGGUGUGUCUCUGGGUUUUGACCCACACACAUAAAGUCGCGGUUUUGAAUGUCGUGACUUGGAGUUUGAGAAGCAGGAAACUGUACUCCCGGAACAGGGGAUGAAAAACCCAUCGGAGUGUUGUGGCCUUCACGAGGAACGCCGAAGAUCUGGUUUCGGAGGAUCUGGGUGACUGCGUCACGCAGAUAGAGCAUCUCUUUCUCAGCAGCUGUCAUUCGCGUCGCCAAGGAAGUCACCGAAGGAGGUUCUGGCAACGGCGGAGCUAUCGCGUCACUGAGUUCGGCCGACUCUGGUAGAGAAUCGUUUGCGGCGGCUUGGUUUACCGGAGGAGCCAUCGCACUCAUCAAAAUGAAAGCACCAAUGAUAGAUAUGGACUCAACGGAUACUAAGAACAAGAGUAAAAACAGAGUAAACUAAUUCUAUUGCGCCGUUUUUGACGGAGAACAAGAUGAGAAGAGAAUUAAUAACUUUAAUGUUAUAAGUUUUGAUGAUUGUUUUUGGUAAGGUUGCCCUAAAGAGGCAAAGACCUUUAAAUACAACUCGAAAUAGACAAAACGCUGAGUUUAAUAAAAGAUAGAGAGAUGGUGAAAGACUCUAGAUGAACAAGAGUCUUUCUAUGCCUUCUUCUUUCCUUCGUCUCUUAGCCACUUUUCUUCAAGACCUUUUUCAAAUACUUCUCCAUAGCUUUAGCUUUUCUUCCGCCAGUUCUCAUUCUCUUUCUCAUAGUAGCUAGUGGAACCCUUAGCCUAUCAUAAUCCCAAACCAGUAACAUAAUGAACCUAGCAGAAGCUUAAAGAUCCACCAACGAUUAGAUUACAAGUACCAAACAUAAGAAAUUGGUCAAUGAUGAUUACCUGACGAUUAACAGUGUCAAGAUAAGGACAAUCACGACGAACUUCAACAUGGCGUGAAUGCUUUCCUCUCCCCUUGGAAGCAUCAUCAUCAUCAUCUUCUUCGUCAUCGACCUCUUCUUGAGCUUCUCCGUUCACUUUGUUACCAUUUCCCUCUCCUUUCGCAACUCCAUUACGACGAGCUUGCGAUUUCUUCAGCUCGUUCCCCUCUUCCUCAUCAUCAUCAUCGUACGCAUUAGCCAACGGCAGAAGAUGAUUGUUGAAACCCAGUGGUGGAGGUGGCGAAUCAGACCGUUCAAUCACUCUCUUCCUAUGACACCGUUAAAUGAACCAAAAACCUCUGCAAAACCUCCGGCUUGUAAAGGAUGAGGGAUGUCGGAGACGUUCUCAGGCGAGUCUAGCUCCACCGUACGUAGAAAACGAGGUCCUCGGAGUAAGAUCAUGAGAUGUUCUCCCGUUUCGAGUCUGCGACGGAGAUGAGAUGAGACGAACUCGGGACUGUCGAUCAAAGAGAAGCAAGGCUUUGAGAGGACGCGACACUUUUUGAGCGUAGUUGCUCUAAGACGGAGAAACAUUUCGUUGAUGAGAUCCGUCGGACAUUCCGCCAUUUCUGUUUUCCGGAAGAAAAUUGACAGAGAGAGGAAUUAGGGUUUCAGAGGAUUUGAGAGAUGAAUUUUCGACUCCAGCUCUUGAGUGUUGAGACAUGAGAAGUCUUUAGCUGUAAAUUUUUAUUUAUAAAAUUAAUUGGGUUAACUUGUUGUAGAUUUAAUAUUUUUUGUUGGAUUAUAUUAGAAUAUAUAUUUGAUGGGGGUCAAUAAAAUUUUGGGAAAGGGGUCAAUUUGUAAAAAUUAACAAAACCUAAACUAAUUUUCUAAAAUCCAUGGGGUCAAUUGACCCCAUGAUUAUACACUCCCUCCACCCAGUGGCGGACCUAUUAAGAAGAGAGGUGGUUCAGUUGACUCAGGUUAAAUAUACAAAUAACUUUUAAUGCAUAUGAGGUGUUUGAAGAGAUACUAGUUCAGUUGGUCAAAUUCUUGAUAACUUGGUUUCGAGCCUACUCAGUGACACUUUUUUUAGUAAUUUUAGUAAUUUUAUAUGUUUUAAAAAAUCAUUGACCAGGUAAAAAACAAUUCUGGGUCCGCCACUGCCUCCACCACUGCUUGAUGAUGUCCAUCAGCUGGUUGUUGGAAUCUGCAUCUUCAUGAUUUGGUUUAGUCUGUAAUUUAUAUGAUUUGUAGAGGUCUUGACUUACUUUUGGUUUAGCUCCGGUUAUAUCCGAUUCUCGUGAUCCAAUACACUUUGAAUUAAUUAAAUAGGAUCACAAACAAAAAAAACCUUUAUAGUUUUAGUAUAUUGACAAAUGUACCUAUUAAAUCUUUCAUUAUUUUAAUUAGAUUUAAUAUAUACAAGUUGUGAUAUUGUGCCACUUCAUAUUUGAUUGUCUCUUUCUUCAUACAAUUUCAGAUUUUCUUCUUCUAUCUUUUCCUUAAACAUCAUUUUUGUUUCUAAUCAUUCUUUCAUAUUAAUUUUUUUUUCUUAAACUGAUAAGAUUUGACAGAAAAUCUACAGGGUAAUUUAAUAAUUUAAUUUAGUACAAUAAUAGUUAAAACAAUUAAUACUAAGGUAGUUUGUAAUAUAUAUGUCGCAAUUCAUGAAUUCAAGUUUGGCUUUUAAUUUUCACAAGAUUUUAUCUCUAAAACUAGUGAAAACUAUUAUGAGAAGUAAAUAAAUAUAGAUAUUAUAUUUUUGAAAAGCCACUUUUGAUAAAUUUGUUUUACGUCUCUGUUCAAUAUAUAUAUGUUUGUAUCUCUCGUUACACUCUCCAUAACCCAAUUUCCAAUGGAAAAACCAAACAACACCAUCACAGAUGUUUUAGAGGGGAUAGUGACGGAGAUACUAGUGAGGUUACCAUUGAGAAGCAUCUCCAGAUUCAAAUCAGUGAGUCAAACAUGGAAAUCGGCAAUAGAAUCUGUGUAUUUCCGACGUCUCUUUGUGUCUCUGCACCAAAACACCUCUUCAAGUUGGUCACUACUGCUCCGAAAAGAAGAAUUCAUAGACUUCCAUGGAUGCGGGACAUGGGGUCUCCCAAAGUCGUUAGGUUCUUAUAUUCAAUGUAUGGAACUAGACGGUAAAUUCGAAUAUAUGUGGUUUUCCGGUUCCAAUGGAUUGAUUUUGAUGCAUAGAAAGUUGGGUACUUGGAAAAAUUAUGUGGGUAAUCCAGUAUUACAACAGUGGGUUGAAAUCCCUGCCUGUCCAGGUUCAUAUACUUUCUUUUGUGGUGUGGUGACGGGUGUUGACGAGGUGGGUGUUGUUUUGAGCUUCAAAGUGGUUAAGAGUGGUAAUAUGUUUCUUAAUAAAGGUGAAAUGUAUAUGCCUUUAUAUGUGUAUUCGUCUGAGACAGGCUUUUGGAUUCACAAAGAAGUUGUAUGCCCUGUUCGCUUACCCAACUUCUAUGACCCUAUUAGUUUGAAUGGGACGCUUUAUUUUUCGCAACGGGGGGAUUCUUAUAAUCGUAGGCCAGGACUUAUGGUUCUCGAUUUCUAUGGUAAACCCAAAGAUUGUCACUUUAUACCGCUCCCCGAUCAUGCUUUGAAUCGCAACAAAACAUGUUUGGCUACAUCCAGCGGUUUUGUCAUGUAUAUCAAAACAUUAGCUCAACCGGGAGGUAAUCUUUUGAAGGUUUGGAGGUUGAUUGAUGAUUCAGCUUGGCAACUUAUGUGGGAAGUCAGCAUCCCAUUUAUUGGAUGUUAUGCACCCAUGUCAAUGCAUCCGUUUGAUCGCAAUAUUGUCUAUUUAUGGAGCCAUGAUAACUGUUAUUUAAUGUCAUUUAACUUGCAGACACAAAACUACAAAAUCUUCGGAGAUGAGUCAAAACAUCAUGAUUGCUAUAUCAACCAUCGUACUUGUGAGAAACAUAUGUAUAAGAUUUCUAGACCAUACUCGGUUUCAGAGUAUGAAGGUCCUAUCAUCUUACAACAAUGGGUGCUCUCAAGGUGGAUGCAAUCAGUGCCUCGUCCUCCCGAAGUUGAGAUGAUAGAUACAACUUCACUACUUUCUCUUGUAGUAAAGAAUGAAGAAUAAAGAUGAAGAAAAAUAGUAAUUAGAAUUGUAAAAGUAAAAAUUAUAUCUUAAUAUCUAUAGUAAUUCUUUAUUUUUGUUUUCUAUAGCAUGGAAUGGAUUCAUGAUUUUUUUUGGUUUCUUAAUACUUUUAGACUUCCUUGAAUCAUCCAACAUUUUGCAUUCUGAUCUUGGCCCAAGCCUGAUUUUGUAUCGUUGCAUUUGUUAUAUUGUAUCGCACAUUUUUAAAUUGAAUAUUAGCUUUCUGACGCCAAAUAUCACAAAAGAUGGGCCAUCUCUUGGAAGACCUUGAAUAAACAACUUUAAAAUAAACGUCGUGAGGAACCGAUAUUAUCUCUUGGAAGCCUUGAAUAAACUGACACUUGAUCUUUUAUAGCUGUCACAUAGAGAUUCUCUAUUCUCAUAUUGAUGUAACUCUCUCGGUUCUCAAAGGUAACUGCCAUAUAUGCACAUUCUUCGCAUAAUUAUCUCAAUUUCUCUUCCAAGUACGUCCUCAUAGUCUACACUAAAAGUCAGACCAAGGUCAGCUUCAUCGAAUUCUGCUCGACUCAAUUUUAAUACGUUCAAACAACGUAACUGUUGUAAUCUCUCUCAUCCGUGUGUUUGAUGUCGUCUAAGGAAACACUUUUUCCGACUCAUAGCAAUGCAUACGAUUGAUCACAAUAUUGUCUAUAUAUGAAGUCAAAAGUAACAAAGAUGAGAAAAUUUUUGAAACCAUAAAAAAUGCGAGAUCUAAUCAUUGAUCAACUUGAACUAAUUUUGUACUUGAAUUUCAUAUAUUUAAGAGACAACUGGAUAUUUGACUUUAACAAAAAAUUUUAGUCGAUGUUCCAUUUCAGAAAAGAUAUAUGAAUAUGUUAGCAGAAUUUCUGAAAGUGAGAUAGUAACUCCAUAAAUAUAUUCUUUGUUAAUUAAUAAUAUAAAGGAUAUGUGGAGGUUUUCUGGAAUAAUGGAGUAUUAGUUAACAAGAACACCUUCGUCAAAAUGUUAGCAAAAAAGUUUCGGUAUAGGAAUAUGUUAGCAAAAAAAAGUUUAAGUGAAAUAGUAUAUUUUUAUUUCAUUAUAAGAUGCAUUCCUAGUUCAAAGUAUUACCUAAAACAUCAUUUAUUAAAUAGAUAUUAUUAAUUUUAGAAAUAGAUAUCUAUCACCACAUAUUGGAACACUUUGGUUAUUUGAUAUGUUAAAAAUAAUCAAUUUUUUUUUGUCAUCUUUAAAAAUAAUCAAUUAGUUAAUUAAUAUAUUAGACAUGUAUCGAGAUUUUAUGGAAUAGUGGCGUAUUAGUUAAUAAAGUGAGCACUUUUCGGAAAUAUUUGACACAUAAAUAAAGUAAUAUAACCAUUAAUGUGUCCACAUUUUAUCCAAGGCUUUCUUAUACUCCCACUAUAUUCCAUUUUUUUUUCUUUUAACAUCUACUCCUUAUAUUCCAUAUUAUUAGAUAUUUUAGAAAUUCUCACUUGUUACAUUUUAUUUGAUUUUCUAAAACAUUAUGAAUAAUUUAUAUUUGUUUACUCUGUUAUGAUCAUUUAUAUUCUACAAUUUAUUUUUAUUGGGUAGUUUUUUAAAAUAAAUGCUAAAUAAUAUAUUUUAUGUUAGAAAAAUAAAAUUCCUUAUUUUUAAAUAGAAAAUCUUAUAAAAUGGAAUAGAAUAGUAAAUGUUUAGUUUUUGUAGUUUAUAGUUAACUAGUGUGUGUAGUUCAAGGUUCUCAAAAGCUUCUCAUAAUGACACAUCAUACCAUUUUUGUGAACCAUUAUCUUUUUCUUGUGAGUAAUAUUUUUUGAUAUUUUCUCUUCGUCUCAUUCUUAUAUUAUAUCGAGAAUCUCAGUAUCUUUAAAAUAUUGAUACAUAGCUACGAUUCCGAACUAAAAAAAAUGUUUAAUUUCGAAUUGGAUUGGAACCGAAAUCACAUAGCCGGUCGGUUUUUAUAAAUUCGAUUAUAUUUUCUUUCGUAUUCGGUUAUCUCGGGUUUAGUUCGGUUAUAUUGGUCCAAUUUGAGUUAGUUGAUUGUAAUUUCUUCAACGGAUCGAUGAAGCUCAAAGAGGAAGUAGAGAGAAACUUACUUAUCAAUGGUUGGUGCUCUACAUGGCGAUCAGAGAUUGGGUUUAGAUUCCUCUCUUCUUCGUGAUGGUUCUUAUUGGAAUUAUCCGUUACUUCGUCUCUAAGCUCAAGCGAUAUUCUCCGACACCAAAGAAAGGUGAGUCGUUUCUCUCCUUAUUGGUCGCCACCUAUAUGUGUAUAGAUUGUUUGUCGAAUUCAUAUAAAAUUUUCGGAGUCUAAAAUACUUUUGCUAUUUGAUCUUGGUCCAAGCCUGAUUUUUAUAUCAUUGCAUUUGAGGAAUGUCCUGAGAGGACAAGAUCCUUGUCUUGUGCAAGAAGCCAUUGAUUGAAUAGAAGCUAUUUAAAGCGUUUUGUACAAUUGCAUUUGCAAAUUGUCAAGAACUCAAGUAUGAAGACUGGAUAAAAACCUGCUCCUACUUUAUUUGUGUGGACUCAUAUAUCCAUAUGAAAUGUUAGUCUUCUUUUCCUCAUAUUACAUUUUAUUUAAAGUAUUUCUAUUUUGCAGGCUUGUGAGACGCUCAAGUUGUGGUCCAAGGCAUCAUGGAGAUGUGUUGAAUUACAUUCUUAGAUGUUUCUAAAUCAAUCUAGUUCACCGGUCAGAAGAUGCCAUUAUAGAUUUUGUGGGCAAAGCAUGUAAUAGGUGUGCAUGCUAAUAUACUCCACAAAUGUAGCAAUUGUAAGACCAGACAAACUACGAUGCAGAUUCAAGAGAAUUGGUUUUCAGCAGAGCAUAUAUAUGAUUAGAAGGUUACCAGGUCAUGUGGCAAUUGUAAAACAGUGGAUUAAGGUACUAGGACCUACCUACUGUAAGUGAAGUUUUGUUUUUCAAAGUCCUUUGAUUUGAGUGUGAUCUAUACAUGUGAAAACUCGGAUUUAUCUAACCCUUGUAAACUGUUGAUAACACAUAAGGAUUCUUUGCAUAUUCUUAGCAUUGACCGGUUUGGGAAAGCUUUGUUGGAAGCAUGGUUGUAAGAGAGGUCAGAUUCUUCUAUAGAGGGUGGUUGCAGCCAGUGUGAGUCACUAGCUAAUGAACUUUGCGCUCAUGAAUCUAAAAGACAGCAACACCAUGAAGAGGUCAACGAAAGUACCUUUUGUCCAGCUCAAGCAAAUGCUGAUAGGUUAUAGAAGAUUGAGUGCAAACCACUAUCAUUGAUGUUUUGUUUCUAGGCUUGUAGCCACGACUCGAGAAGAGUGUACCUUGCCACAUUUGAUUGGGGCUGCCCCGGUCUGUUAUUGUGUACCAACUGGCAUUGAUGCUCUUCGUCCAUCUUUCUUCUUCUUGUUAGUUUGGUUAGAGCAUCGUAUUUCUUAAUAACAAUUUUGAGGGAUAUAUAUUGUCAAAAGUUUUUAGGAGUUUGGGGCUUCAAAUCAGAGAUCUUAUGACAACACAAGAAAUAUCAUCUUAUUUAUUUAUAUAUAUAUAUAUAUAUAUAUAUAUAUAUAUAACAAUCUUUGUGUGUUUCUGAGUUUAUUUAUUUAUGUGUUAAUCAUAAAACUGCAGAGAUAGCAAUUUAUUUACAUAAUGUCAAACAUAAUGUCAAACAUAAUGUCAAACAUAACAAAAGAACAAAAGAACAAAGCGCAAAAGUGAGACAUGAACAUGUCUAAUGUACUAAAAACUAACACUUGUCUACACUAUAUGAAAACUAGAUGUGUGUUUCUUAUAUCCUUUCUACACUUGUCAGUGAUGAUAUGUAAGAAUUAAUAUCACUAAAUGUACCUCUAAAGUCGACCAAAACUAGAACUCACAUCUUUAUCAACAACAUAGAGAACCUUACGUUUUUUGGUUUCAUAGGUAGGUACAAUGGUAAGUCAGUCGCAAGGAGCAAGUGCUUUAUUUUGGGAGAGAAUUUACAGCAGCCUUGGUUGUCUUGCAGAUGGUAAGUGUAUCAGACAAAUCUUUGAAAUCGUCCCUUGACAAGUACACACCGUAGUCCAAAAGUCUAGUAAUCUGAGCCUUUCUUCAUUGUCCAUUUCAUCUACCGUUUGCCAAAAUCAGAUGAUAACGUCAUCGUUCUUAUCAAAUCCAUCAUAGAAUGUAUGCGCUCUCCACUAGUCUGGACAUAUAUUUUCUCAUAAAAUCAAACGACUCUACACUCUUUGGUUUCGAUACACUUUUAGUACAAUCAUCUUCUUCAUUAGGACACGAAGGAAUUGUCAUUCUAGUUGAUCGUAUGCUUACUCAUAUCUGUUUUUAUUGCCAUAAACUUCUUUUUGCAUGUCAUGGCUAAUAUGUGAACAUUAGUACAAUCAUUUAAGUUCUUUUUUUCCUACACUGAUAACCAAUUUAUUAGUCUUUAGCCAAAUUAAAUAAAAUAUAAUAACUAAUUUUGAAACAUGUAAUGACUGAAAAUGCAAAGAAAGAAGACAAAGAUGGUAUACAAUAAUAGCCUUUUAACAAUUUGGAAUUUUGAUGAUAAGAAUGUUUGGAUUUCUAUAUGGGAACUGUGCUGGCCUAGCAGACAUAAAUAUAGUUAAGAUAUUUUUCAAAAUAAAAAAAUAAAAUGAAGAUCCUUAUUUCGAAAGUAAAUGUAAUAAAGAAAUUUAUUUUAAUUUGAUUUUAAUUUAAUUUUAACUAUCAAAUUUUUAUAAGACGAAGAAAAAAUUGAGAAAUUAGCAUUUGUCCCUGUGCUAGGUUUGAAAACAUUUUUAAAAUCUGGAUCCGACGUUUAAAAUUCUGAUUUUUUUUAUUUAUAGAUAUGAAAUAUUUAACUCAUUUAAGUUCUACUUCUAGCAAAGAAAAAAAAAAAAAAGUUUCUACUUCUAGCGAAUCAGUUCACUUGAAAAUGCCAAAUUGAGUUCACGGGACCAUGCACAUGUAUGUAUAUAGUUUACGUGACAAUUAAAAAAAACAAAUUAAACUAUAUUGAUGUGAAUGAUUUACUAUAUAACUACCACAUUCACAUCAAUUCAAAUCUGAAUUACUACAAAACAAUUGAUUAACUAGGGAUUAUCUGCUAACAAGAAAGAAUUAUAACAAGCUAAUGACAGUUCAUCGCAAGAAUGAUGUAAAAUUUCACUGUACUAGUGCAUGAUGUAAAAUGAUAGUAUGAUAUUUCUGUUGGGUAAUGGGUCUAUCAGUUAGAAAGCAGAAACAAAAUGUUUUGGAGAUCAGAAUUGAGAGAGUACGUUCAUUUUGAGACAAACUCCAAACUUGGAAAUCCAAAUUAAGGUCCUGUUUGUUUGUCCAUUUGGAUGAACCAUCUCAAUGAAAAUGAAAAUUGUUGUUUGUUUUUCAUGUUUUAAUAGAUCAUUUGAAUGAUUCAGUUGAAUGCUUUUAUCUAAACUCAUCCAAAAAAUAAAAAAAAUCUGACUGAGUUUGAUUUGUUCAUUCUGCUGAAGCUGAUUUAGCCAAAAUUAUAAAAUGUCAAUAAUACCCUAAUCUAAUAUAUGGAAUUACACCCAAAAACCACAUCUCUUCUUCACCCUCUCCUCGACACAAAACACUCAAAAUUGAGAUUCAUAGCCGUCAAUGAUGCUGAUUCUUCGCCGGUGAUCUCGCCGUCGCCGAUUCUUCACUGGAGACUCGUCGGAUCCAUCGCCGGAGUGUAGCAGGUUUGUGUUUCUCUCUCUCUCUCUCUCCCUCUCUUGCUUCCUCUCUCUCGCUCCAUGUCUCUCUCGUUGUUUCUCUUUGUAUCCUUGUUGCAAUCACUUGUUCUUGGGUUUGAUCCACCAUGGUUACAUUGUUUAAUUGUGGGUUUGCUUUACUUUGCUUUGUGUUGCUUUUGAUUCUUCGAUUAGCUUUAGUUUACGGCUUGUGUUCCUUAUAUUGCUUUGUGUUGCUUUGCUUGCUUUGUGUUGCUUUUGAGUCUUCGAUUUGCUCUUAAGAGGCUUUGUUGUCUCUACAUUAGGAGCAACAGAACCAUUUGGUGCUGCGACUUUAGCAUCUGCACUUUAGCCCUCUUUAGAUUGACCAUCCAUAGUUACAAACCUCAGCUGCCUCCUUGACGUGUUCAAUUGCAUCCAAAGUGGAAUUGUUUUUGUGUUUAUAGGUCUUUUGUAUUUUUGAUGCAGAAAGCUAGGAUCCAGAUUGUGUUAUCUGAUUUGUUUUGAGAUACAAUGAUUGAUGAUGUUGUGACUCGUGUAUAGCUCAUUGAUGAAAAACUUUGCAUUAGUCUCUAUUUAGUCUCGAAGAACAAGUUUGGCUCUGAGUUUUGUUGAUUGAUGAUGUUGUGACUCGUGUAUAGCUUAUAACUGCUUAUUUAUAAGGGAGAAUUUCAUCUUAUAAAAGAUUUUUUCUCUUCAGUCCUUGUUUCAGCAAGUUUUGUCUCCAAGUAAGAAAGCUUUGGUUUCUCAGGUAUGUCCUCUAUAAAUAUAUUGCUUUCGAUAUUCAAUAGUAUUAAUUAGUGGUUGCAUUUGGCUUUCUGUAGUAGUAGCAUGAGUUCGUCUAAGGUUUGAGUUCAAAUACUGUAGAAAUAGUCAAGAAUAAUAUCUCAUGAUUGUUCAAUAUCAAAUAGUUUUUCUUUGCUUUGCUUUGUUAUCUCUGAUCUUUGUACACGUUUUAUUUGCUUUGCUUUGUUAUCAUAAGUUGUGUAUUGUUUGCUUUGUUAUCUCUGAUCUUUGUUUUAUUUGUUUGGUAUCUUUGAUCUUGUUCUAACACAACUACAAAACGUUUGUUUUCAUUGUGUGCUACAGAUGACAACUAUCAAUGGUACCGAUGUGAGUAUAUUCUCCUCUAAACUUAGAUUUACUAUAACAUUUUCUGUAAUUUAGACUGAUUUUGUACAAAAACACAUGAUCAACUAAGAAUCUUGUGUGGAAUGAUGAGCAAACUCGUUUCUACCUUGAACUAAGAAUUGAGGAGAAGCUUAAAGGAAAUAUUAGGAAUCAGAAUGUCAAUGAUGUUGGGAGACAGACUAUUAUAGAUAGAUUUUAUGAGGUUUAUGGGGAAAGACAUACAUGGAGAAAAUUUGGGGUCAAGUUUACUACUUGUAAGAAGCAGUAUGAAGGUUUUAAGAAGCUGACUCACAACAGAACCGGUCUUGGUUACUAUCCAAAUGGGAGCAUAAGAAUGUCUGAUGAUUGGUGGAAUGAACGGUGUAAGGUAUAUAGAUUCUUAAACUUCUUCUGUCCUUUGUUUGUUCUAGAUCAAGUUCUCAUUGUUUGUUUAUUCUCAUUGUUUGUUAGGAAUUGCGUGGAGCUCGGAAAUUUAAAGAUAAGCCAGUGGCAAAUGUGGAUUUGAUGGAAAAGGUAUUUGGUACAGUGCAUAUCAGUGGAGCCGAGGGCUGGGCUCCUAAACAAGGUGAAGAGAAAUUAGACUCAAUGCAUCAAGAUGAUGAUGGUGAUUCAACGCAGAUCCCUAUAACUCAAGAUGAUGAUGGUGAAUCAAGGCAGAUCCCUCUAAAUCUAGAUGAUGAUGAAGCAACGCAUAUCCUUCCUACUCAGAGCAAUGUUGGCAAUGGUCCCUCAUAUUCAAGUAAGUCAAAGAGUAGUAAGAAAAGAUCAAGGUCUGUACAAGAUGAACAAGGUGUAGCAGAGGUGAUUAAGGAUAGUAUCAAGUCACGGGAUAAAAUUCUUUCCCACAAGAACCAACUAAUAGAGAUGCACCCUAAGUUUAGUUGCUGUCAGCUUCGAGCCAUGCAGAUUCUACACUCGCUGCCUGCUAUAAGGGUGUGGUCUCCCUUAUACAAAGCAGCAAUUCAACAUCUUAAGAAAGAUAUCACCAAUCGUCAGACAUUCUUGUUUUAUGAAGAUGAUGAGAACAAGGUUCUCUACUUGGAGUUUGAAACUGGUGUAAGCAGGAAUGCAUGAGAAAGAAGACAGUGUCUUGCAUUGUUGUUCUUAAGAAUUCUUGUAUUUCAAUGGUUUUUAUGAACUCUAUUGUCUGUUAUCAUCUUGUGUAUGAGAAACAAGUUUUUUUUAGAGUGAGAAUAAAAUUGGCUGCUUUCUAUUAUCUUGUGUAUGAGAAACAAGUUUUUUAUCUUGUAUAUGUUCUGUUGCUCAGGUCUGCUUAGGUCAGAGGAGUGUGAGGUGAAAACAAGAUUCUUGUCGGUAUUGUAAGUUUAUCAUUUCCUUGUUAUGCUUCUGAUUGUAUCAUUUUAGUAUAUCAUCUGAUUUGAGUUUUUUAUUUGUUUCAGGCUGAUUUAGAUUCUUCAAAGCAAUCAACUUCACAGUCAGUUGUGCUUCAAGAGGUACAUUUCUGAGAUCUAUAGCUUGUACAUUUCUGAUUAAUGGAAUCUAUAAGCUUUAUCACAGAUUUCUACUUCGUGUUUGGUUUUGGUUGUCACUGUAUUUUAGUUUCAGAUUGAUUAAUGGAAUCUAUAAGCUUUAUUUGCUUGAGAAAUUAGUACUAUAGAAUGUUUCUUUAAUGCUGUUUAAUAGAGGAGGUCCUCCGACAAACAGCAGAGAAUUGUUUAAUCGUAGACAUUCUAGUUUGAGAUCUGUAAUCGAAAGAACAUUUGGUGUGUGGAAAGCUAAAUGGAGAAUACUUGAUAGGAAGCACCCAAAGUAUGAAGUGAAGAAGUGGAUUAAGAUUGUGACAUCAACGAUGGCUUUACAUAAUUAUAUACGAGAUUCACAACAAGAAGAUAGUGAUUUUAGGCAUUGGGAAAUAGUUGAAUCAUAUGAGCAACAUGGUGAUGAAAAUGAUGCGCAUGUUCCAUAUGUGCCUACUGGUGACAGAGUAAUGGAGAAUAUACGAGAUUCCAUCACUACAGAGAUGGCCAAAGGAACAAGACUCCCAUAUUAACAGGUUCCAUCUCUCUGUCUUAUGCUAUUGACUGUCUCUGUCUUAUGCUAUUGUCUGUCUCUGUCUUGGUUUUAAAUUUUGUGACUAGUAGUGACAGCUGAAUGGUCACGUCACUACAUAAGUUGGUUGAUUACACACGUUUUAAAUUUUGUGACUAGUAGUGACAGCUGACAAGUAAUUCGUUGAACAUAGUGUUCAUUAGUUUGGAUUAGACUUGAUUCAAUUGAAUAGCUUGACAUAAUGACAGCUGAGUGGUCUAUGUUUCUGGUUUUAGCUCAUUGUUGAAUAGUCUCUCUCUCAAUCUAGUUGUUGUAUUCUUGAGCAGCUGCAAUUCUAGUGUCUCUUGAUGUUGUUUGCUUUAGUGUUGUGGUUUGGUAAUAUGCAUAAGACCAUUCUUUGGUUUCUGAUUCUAGUUUGUGUCACGAUUGAAUCACUUUUGAGAAUGUGUCAUGGUUGAAUCGUUAGGUAAGUACUAGCCAAUAUGCAUGCUUGCUCUUAUUGGAGAAUUGGUGAUGAUUCAGGUUAUUGCUUUUAUUGCUCUUCUUUACAGGUUUAGUAAUCUGAAAUGCGUUUACAGGUUUACAGGUAGAAUCUAGAUGCGUUUACAACCAUUUACUGUGUCUUCUUUAUCAUUGAUAUUGUAGCAUCAUUGUGAAUGUUGCAACACCCGUGCAGGUUGAGAAGUCUCCCAUAAAUGCUGAGUACUCAUUCGGGCUAGGGAACUGCAGAGCAUAAGAAGGAACUUAGAAAAUGGAAACAGAGAACUCUCUUUUUAAGACUCUACUUUGAUUAUUUGUUACUUAACAGAGGGCAUUUUUGUCAUUUAUAUAUAUAUGAGAAUGUGAUUGAUUCAUCCAAAUGAUCAAACAAAUAAAGCUUCAUCUAAAUAAUGCAUUUAGAUGAAUUAGCAAAAGAUUAGCAAAUGAUAAAAAAAACAUCAUUAAGAUGAAUCAUUCAAAUGGAUUAUUUGGAUGCAAAUUCCAAAUGAUCAAACAAACAGGGCCUAAAUCGUUGAUAAUAAUAUUUAUCUCGUAAUAAAUUUUGCCCAAGUUUAUGUUUCUUAAUUUCACAUGUACGUAUUACUAUUAGGUAGUAAUUCUUCUUAUUACGGAAUAAUUCUUCUUAUAUUUUCAUUAAAUCCGAGAGUGUGCAACAACAAUACAUAUAUACUCACGGGCCAAACAUAUGAAUUAAUUUGUUAUUCAUUUUUUUAUUAUUAAAAGAUGAAUUAAUUAUCUUAUCUUAUAAUACUAAAUCGAGGAAAGUUCUAAAUUUAUAAUAGACUGAUAACUAAAUAAAAGUUAUGUUGAGAAAAAAAAAACAAAUCAUCGAUAUUUUAUUCAAUAGGAGAAAUGAACAAAUUAUUUGCGAUACAACAAAAAGUAAACAACACAAACCCAUUGAUGUUCUUCAUGAAAUUGACCAAUUCAAUUAAACGAGCACAAAAGAAAACGUAUAAGGAUAAAACAUUCAAGAUUUUUCAUGGUACGUAACUUAUAUAUCAACGUAUUGAUUUUAAGGGAAUUGGAAGUCACGUGAUGCCUCUCUGUUGCAAAUAUUGAGAAGCAAGCUGAGGUUGAUGGGAAGGGUAAGGUUGAUGCCAAGAACACUAGCCUUGAGAGCAGUGCAAAGACAAAUCGCAGCUUCAAGAUCUACCAAACCCUCGAUAAGGCUGCAACAUGGAGUCACAGGAGGAGUUCCGGGGGUCAAACCGUUUAACAAGUUGAGUGCGUUAACACAAACACCGACCUUUAAGGCAUCUUUAGGACAAGUCCCGGUAGUGGGUGUUGGGCUAGGUUUUUGUUUGUUGUGUUUUCCUGGUGGAGGAGGACAAUUGGUACUGCGAGUGGCAGUAGUGAGAGUGAAGAAAAGGAUGUUGAAGAGAAGGAGGAGCGCAAGAGAGUCUUUAAGAGCCAUUGAUUUUUGAGGGAACACAAACAAAGCCCUAAAGAAACUCUUUAAAGUUGAGAAGAUCGUAGAGAGUUGUGGUGGAGAAAAGUAACACGAGUGUUAAGGGAAUAUAGCUUGGGUAGAAAAUUAGAUGAUAUAUAUUAAUAUGCAAGCUAAAUGAUUCGAUUAAUAAUAGUGGCUUUUCUAAAUAUUUACUUGGACCGACCACGUUCUAGUCCUAGGGAAUUUAGCUGGCGAUAGGCAUAUGUUUGGAACUAAGUAUAUAGUUGUUAUACUAAAAUUGAGUUUUUUUGUUAAUUGUAUUUAACUGGUAAUUUUAUACAUCUUCUUUGUUUGUAUUAAACUAUUAAAAAAUUUAUUUUGAUCAAAAAUCUCAUCGGUAUAAGAAGAUAUAUACUCAUUCAUUUUAUUCAUAUAUUUAUACAUUUAUGACUUGUUACAAACUUCCAUCUAGUAAGUACAUAGACUGUAUUAGUUUAUGAUGUACAAUAAUUAAUUUCAUUUGCUUAUCAUGAGUCAUUGUCCUAUCGGAUUUCUGAUUUACGGCGGUUCUUGAUGUUGGGUUACGGUCUAGUAUAGAGCAUGCAAAGGUUACUCACAUGGUUUAUUUGUAAGAUAAGGAAAAUUGAUACAAAGGUACAAUAUAAUUUCAUUGGUAAUUUAUUACAUUGUUGGAACCCAAAAAAAAUCACAAGGCUGUCUUUGUAUAUUUAAGACUAGAGAGAAUGAGGAGAAUGUGUGUGGUGCAAGAAAAUGGUCAUCAUGGGCAGCUAAAGCCUUGUGGAAUCCUGCGACCACAAACCUUAAAGAAGAUGCCAAAAUUGGGAGAGAGGGAAAAACGUCUUGCUCCUACCGACUUACAAAAACAAGUAACUGCAUCAAGAUCAGACACAUUACGUACGAUGGAACAACAUGGCUCUGCCCUACCAGUGGUUAGAAGGCCGUCACUAAUUGCUAGAAUUCCGGCACAUAUCUUUAGUUCGGUAUCAUUCUUGGAGCAUAUGCCAACUAGAGGAGGUGAUAGUGGUGGUGUAAUAGCUGGUGGAGGAGGUGGUGUUGUUUGUGGCGGAGGCGGUUUUAAAGUUUGUGGAGGAAGUGGUGGUGGUGAGAUUGUUGGUGAUGGACCGGGACAGCUAAAGCCUUGUGGAAUCCUACGACCACAAACUUUAAAGAAGAUGCCGAAAUUGGGAGAGAGGGAAAAACGUGGUGCUCCUACCGAUUUACAAAAACAAGUAACUGCAUCAAGAUCAGACACAUUUCGGAUGAUGGAACAACAUGGUUCUGCUCUUCCAGUGGUUAGAAGACCGUCACUAAUUGCUAGAAUUCCGGCACAUAUCUUUAGUUCGGUAUCAUUCUUGGAACAUAUUCCAACCAGAGGAGGUGAUAGUGGUGGUGUGAUUGCUGGUGGAGGAGGUGGCGUGGUUUGUGGAGGAGACAACGGUGGCGGUAAGGGUUUUGGAGGAAGUGCCGGUGGUGUGGUCGCUAGUGGAGGUGGUGGUGUAAUAGCUGGUGGAGGAGGUGAUAGUGGAGGUGUAAUAGCUGGUGGAGGUGGUGGUGUAAUAGCUGGUGGAGGAGGUGGUGUGGUUUGCGGAGGAGACAACGGUGGCGGUAAGGGUUUUGGAGGAAGUGCUGGUGGUGUGGUCGCUACUGGAGGUGGUGAUGUGCUCUGUGGUGGAGGCGGUGGUUGGUCAUUGGCUGGCGGUGCUGGUUGAAAUGUUGGUGGAGUUGGCGGUUGGGGAUCGGGUUGCGGCGGAGGUGGUCCCGGAUUACAAAUACAAAUACAAGGUGGUGGUGGAGGGCAGUAAACGGAAUGGUUAUCUGCUCUAACGAUGGUGAGUAAUGGAAUGAUGCUGAAUGAGAGGAAAAGGAUUAUAGUAGUUGAGGCCAUUCUUGAUUGCAUAUUUUUUUGUUUGGUUUUGCAUUUGCGAAAUUUGGACUAUUUAUGAACGAUGGAUUUGAGGAUGAAGUUAGAGUUAUCAAGUUGGUAGCUUCAUAGUAGGAGAACGUGUUGACAAAAAUGUUUGCGUAAAUCUUGCGUUUAGAUUGAAGCUUGGAGUUUUGGUUUCAAUAGGGUUUGGUUUCGCCGUGUUGACUAUGAUUUAUGAUAUUUUUAUGAAAUGAAAAUGUCAAUCAUAUUUUGUAGUUUACUAAUCAGUCCAAGCACGCAUGGAGAGAAUCAUUAUCUAUAUUCGGGUUCACGUCAUCACGUGUUGUUUCAGAAUUCGAAGAUCUUUUGCAUUUUGUGAUCACGAGAAGGCAAAUCUUAAGUUGAAACAAAGAAGAACUACGCAAAUCUGAAAUCUAAGAAUAAAGGUCUUUUUAAAUUUUAACACUCAUUUCGUCCGACCAAAAAAAAAAAAAAGCAUUUAACUCAUUUCGAGUUUUACCGUGUAACCAAAGCAAUUACGAGUACCAAUUUUCGCGCGUUCUAAUAAUAUGAUCCGUUAUUUAAACCAAUGAACAAAGAGCCUCAUAUUUUUUCCAGCUCUAAUCUCUUGGCUUUUUGUUCCAUGUGCAUCUCAUCUUUGCUCAUUCAUCACUCUUUGACUCUUUAACUCUUUGACUUUUGUAGUCAUAAAAUUAACUAAAAUACAAAAAAAUAAUAUAAUUUAGAUAUUUACAUAUAUUGCCAAAUUUCUAAUUAUUUAUUUCCAUAAUCACAAAAUAUUAAUGGUUGUUCCAAUACGCACAAAAUAUUAAUGGUUGUUCCAAUACGUAAAAAGUAUAUUAAUUUGAUUGAUAAAUUGACUACUAACACCAUAUAUUAUAGUAUCUAAUACAUACAUAUUACAUGAUCAUUUUUAAAGUCUAAUGUUAAACUCUUUUUUGGCAAUUAUUUCUGACUAAAUUUUGACUACUAUUUUUUUUUUUAUUGUGCAACAUCAAAAAUCGAUUCACAAUAAACUCAAAUAUCAUAUAGUACGAAUGGCACUGUGGCAGUAAACUGGUCUUAUUCGAAUUUCAAUAUUGUCAAGGAGAAGUUCAAGAUACUAAUUUGCUUUUCAAAGUAAUUAGGAUCGGAUAAAAUAAUAUGAACAAUUAGGGAAACUUUUUCAAAACCAAAAAUCAAUCUUUUUUGGCGAUAUUUAUAUUAGAUUGACUAAAACAAACAAAUGCUGAAGAACACUAUUUACAUAUCACUUAUACAAAUAAGUUAUAUUAUUAUUAUGUAAUCACUUAUAAAUGUGUUUGCAGAGUUUAUUACCGUGACUUAUGGAUCACAUUUGGUAGUUUAUAUAUGUAUAGUUCUUAGGAAAAAAUAAAUAUUAUAUAAAUUAUGGGUCACUGAAUAAAAAUAACGUGACUAAAAAAUAUACAUUAAAAUCCAUAACAAAGAUGUACGAUAAGUAAAUCAUUAUAUUUUAGAAAAUUAAUUUUACAAAUAAAAAACUAAACUAUGAUUAUUUACUACUAUUGCUCUUAAUUUUGUUCUUCUGCAAAGAGUCAAUCCAUUAUAAAUACAGAAGUCAACUUUGCAAGCUUCUCCAAACGCCGCCAAAUUUUGAUUGUGAUCAACAUUGCAAGCGUCUUUAAUUUGUUUUCUUUCUUCUUGUCAAGCUUGACAAUAGGGAAGAGAGGUAAUUUUUAUAACUAUAAAUUUGACCACAACAUGCAACAAACCAUAUAUCACAGUUCACAGAUGAAACUGAUUUCUGGGAGGGGAAAAGAGCAUGGCUCGAUUUCAUCAGCACCCAAAGCCCAUAGCUUGAGAGAGGGAUUUCGAAAGCUUGAGCUCUAACUUCCCACAAUUGAGUGAAGCUGUCGUCGAUUAAAUAGUGAAGUGUUGUUAAUUAAUAGUACGUUGUCUUGCUAUCACGAGAUGUCAACGAUAGUAUAGUGUUUUUGGGGAUUAAAAAAAUGUUCGUACAUAUAAUUAAUUUCUUUGCUAACCCUCUUUUUCUCUAGACGCGCGAGGUUUGGAUAUCGUUAAGAGUUUAUAUAUUUGGGUAGCUAAAUGUAGAGGGACCAAAAAGUUAACAAAUAGUUUGGUGAUUCAUUAUUAAUUACACAUUACAUAAAUAUAUUACUCACUUUAUUAGUUAGAAGUAAGAGAAAUCUUAAUCAUAUAAAUUUGGUGAUUUUGUUUUUGGUGAGGAUAUAUAUUUGUGCUUAACUAAGCAUAAAUUUAUCCCAAAACACUAUCAACUUAAUAAAUACAAACCUUAAGGGUUGAUCUGUUCCUCAGACUCUGCCGUGUGUUCCGCUUAAUUUGUUUUUUUUAAACUAAUUUUCAAGGUGCACACGGACUAAUUGCUACAAACUUAAGAUUUAGUAUUAAACUUUUCUAAGACGGAUUGAGAUAGAUUUUCUUUAUUGUUUUCAAGUGUCUAAUCAUAAAACAUAAAAACUAAGGAAAAGUAAAAUCAUACAAGAACAUGCACUUGCGAAUAGCUAGCAAUUAACUUAAAGAAACAAAAUUAUUAACCAACCAACUAACGAAGUAAAGAAAAAAUAUGUAAAGUGAGAUAUUGAAGCAUUUUAAUUAAGAUCGACAAGCCGAUGAAGUGGGAGCGAUAGGACGACGAGUUUUGUUUUUCGUUGAUUAACGUUUGAAUUCUGAAACAAUUACUUGAAAAGAGUCUUCUAUUAUAAUUGCUUUAUUUACCAAAGUCACCAAAAGCUUAAAAAAACAUAAACAUAAAAUAAUGAUGUAGAAGAAAGCUAAAAAGUAUAUAUUAAAUUAUAACAUAUGUGGUAUUUUCAUUUGUAACGAUUACAUAUUUUUGUGUUCCAUAUUUUUUGGGACAAUUUCAGACGUAGAAAUUUCCAAUAUAUAUGGUUUAUCUAGUGUGCUUAGAAACAAAAAUAAUAAAGACACAAUGUAAAAGUUACACAAAAUUUAUUGAUGUUUGGUUACAUUAUUAUUGGUGGAAAGUAAAAACGUCAUAUAUUAGACUUAAGUUGUCGUUUAGGUGGCAAGUAAGUUUUAGAAAGGGAACAGGGAAAUGAUUAUGGGCAGGUAAAACCUCUGGGAAUCCUGCGGCCACAAGCCCUACAGAGGAUGAUGAUAUUGGGAGAAAGAGUGGAACGUCGUGCUCUCACCAAAUCACAUAAGCAAGCAGCUGCUUCCGCGUCAGAUAGAUUGCGAAUGAGCGUACAGCAGGGCUGUGCCAGUCUAAAAUCUAAGAAGUUGCCAAAAAAUCUUAGGACAUUGGAACAUGUCCUUAUUUGGUUGGCAUUCCUGGGACAUGUGCCACGUGGAGGAGGUGGUGGUUGGAAUCUCGGAGGAGGGGGUGGUGGUUGGGAUUUCGGAGGAGGGGGUGAUGGUGAGUUGUUCGGUGGAGAUGUUGGUGAAGAAGGCGGCAGUGUUGUUGUUGGUGGAGGCGACGGUGGUGUAGUUGGAGGACGCACUGGUGGAGUCACGGGUGGUGUGUUUGGUGGAACCGUUGGUGGAGUUUGUGGUGGUGUGUUUGGAGGAGUUUCCGGUGGUGUGUUUGGAGGUGUCUGUGGAGGUGUGUUUGGUGGAAGCGUUGGUGGAAUUUGUGGUGGUGUGUUUGGUGGAAGCGUUGGUGGAGAUUGUGGUGGUGUGUUUGGAAGAGCUUCCGGUGGUGUGUUUGGUGGAAGCGUUGGUAGAGUCUCUGGUGGUGAGUUUGGAGGAGUUUGCGGUGGUGUCUCCGGUGGUGUGUUUGGUGGAAGCGUUGGUGGAAUCUGUGGUGAUUGGUUUGGAGGAGUUCCCGGUGGUGUGUUUGGAAGUGUCUCCGGUGGUGUGUUUGGAGGCGUUUCCGGUGGAGUGUUUGGAGGACUUUGUGGGGGUGUGUUUGGUGGAGUUUCCGGUUGUGUGGUUGGAGGAGUUUCCGGGGGUGUGUUUGGAGGAGUUUCUGGUGGUGUGGUUGGAGGUGUCUUUGGUGUGUUUGGAGGAGUUCCCGGUGGUGUGUUUGGAGGUGUUUCUGGUGGAGUAUUUGGAGGACUUUGUGGGGGGGUGUUUGGUGGAGUUUCUGGUGGUGUGAUUGGAGGAGUUUCUGGUGGUGUGGUUGGAGGUGUCUCCGGUGGUGUGUUUGGAGGAGUUCCUGGUGGUGUGUUUGGAAGUGUCUCUGGUGGUGUGUUUGGAGGAGUUCCCGGUGGUGUGUUUGGAGGUGUUUCUGGUGGAGUAUUUGGAGGACUUUGUGGGGGGGUGUUUGGUGGAGUUUCUGGUGGUGUGAUUGGAGGAGUUUCUGGUGGUGUUGUUGGAGGUGUCUCCGGUGGUGUGUUUGGAGGAGUUCCUGGUGGUGUGUUUGGAAGUGUCUCCGGUGGUGUGUUUGGAGGAGUUCCCGGUGGUGUGUUUGGAGGUGUUUCUGGUGGAGUAUUUGGAGGACUUUGUGGGGGUGUGUUUGGUGGAAUUUCCGGUGGUGUGGUUGGAGAAGUUUCCGGUGGUGUGUUUGGAGAAGUUUCUGGUGGUGUGGUUGGAGGUGUCUCCGGUGGUGUGGUUGGAGGUGUCUCCGGUGGUGUGUUUGGAGGAGUUCCCGGUGGUGUGUUUGGAGGUAUUUCCGGUGGAGUGUUUGGAGGACUUUCUGGGGGCGUGUUUGGUGGAGUUUCUGGUGGUGUUGUUGGAGGUGUCUCCGGUGGCGUGUUUGGUGGAAGCGUUGGUGGAGUCUGUGGUGGUGUGUUAGGAGGUAUUUCCGGUGGUAUGGUCGGAGGUGUCUGUGGUGGUAGGGUUGGUGGACCUGUUGGUAAAACUUCCGUAGGUGGUGUGGCUGGUGGACCCGUCGGUGGAGUCUCCGGUGGUAUGGUUGGAGGCAGUGUUGGUGGAAUCUGUGGGGUCACAGUUGGUGGAGGCGGUGGCGAUGGUUCUGGACAAGUACAUACUGGACAUGGUGGCGGAGGAAUGCGUGGUGGAGGUGGGCGGAGAUAGGGACGGUUUUGGGCUUGGGUUUGGCCGAGGAGAAGAAUGCUGAUCAGUGUAAGGAAGAGAGCUAAGGUUUUUGUUGAACCCUUUGGGGCCAUUUUGUUCUUAGGCAAUCUUUGUCCUCACAAAAGAGAAACUGUACGGAAACUUGUGAAUUGAGGUGUAGUGGAACUAUGGGUAUUUAUAUGGCCUUUUGGAGAUUUACUAGAUAUGUAAAUUGCCAUAUGUUUACGUACAUUGCCAAACCUAUUUUCCCAGUCAAGUCUCAGAGGUAGUUUCCCUUCGAUUCACAGCUCAAAAAGUUUCGGUGCUUAGGCUGAAGCUAGUCUGUGGUUAGGCGCUACAAUUUUUACUUAAAUAUCACUACUAUCAUUUUAUAAUAUUGUGAUAACAUAUUAGCUGAUUUAAUAUUUAGGACUAUAUUAGAACACACCGCAUGUUUUAAUUUGCAACUUACGUUGGUUGAUAUGUAUCAGAGUCAAUAAUUACAGUUGUUAUCUAAAGUGACAAUGUCGAGUUGAACUAGCAUUCCCAUGAAUUAACAGGCUUAUUUUGGACUAAAUAAUUUGUUUAUUGGUUCUUCAUUUAACCAAUAAAAAAAACAUAAAAAAAAAAAUCAAAUUUUGAUAACCCUUUUUGAUUUUAUGUUAACAAAUCAGUUUGGUCUAUUCGAUGACUUAUUGUGGUCUGAUUUGUAGAAAAUCUUUAGCCAAGUUACGUUCAUUCCAGAAAAUUUGUUCGGUUACUGUUAGUUUUGUUUUGUAACGUUCAAUUUUAUACAAUAUUUGUGAUCGAUUAAGUAAUCUGUUGGUUUGGUUGCUUGAGUAAAUGAGUGGGCAUACUUCAUUAAUUUCAUCUUCCAAAACUUUCUUCAAAUUAAUUGGUUUUAGGGUUAGGCGUGAGGGCAUUCUAAGUUACCUUGGCCUUCAAGUCUCUAAUAGUUAGGCUAAACAUAGUUUGACCAUUUUGUUGUUGUACUUGUUAGGUACAAGCAAUUAAAUUGGAAUCCAUAAAACUCCACAUAUUUUUUAUAAUCGAGUCCACUCUGGGUUUAUUUUUCCAUACUUAUUUAAAAGUUCGGCUGAGCUUAAGCAUCAUUAAUUGUAGGAUAAGCAUUUGUUUUUCGGGACAAUAGAAAUUAUAGACGUUCAUACGUCAAUGUUUUUAAAAACAUAUCAUCAACCGAUACCAUUUCCUUUUACUAAUUCAAGAUAACUAAAAUGCGAAAAUGAUGUGUUUCGGACAACUUUCUCUACUAAAAACACUUGGAAUCACACGCGCACAAUAUCUAACAAAGUUGAUUGGUACAAAGGGGUCUGGUUCGUACAAGCCACACCAAAAUAUGCUUUUUGCAUGUGAGUAGCAGUCCAAAAUCGGCUCUCAACUGUAGACAUAAUGCUUCAAUUGGACAUGGGAGUGAAUGCAACGUGUGUCUUGUACAAAUAUGAGCGACCACAUUUUCUUCUCAUGUGAUUAAGCUAAAGAAGUUUGGGCAUCUCUGGCGAAAAACAUAUACAAAUCGAGUUACUCCACAGUCUGGCAAAUUAACUAUCCUCAACCACGCAUCAAAUCACUGGCACAAUCGCCUCGAAGGCUUUCUCGCUCGAUACGUCCUGCAAGUCUCGGUUUACUCUAUUUGGAGAGAGCAAAACGGGGGCAAACAUGACAAAGUUCCAAACCCACCAAACCGCCUCAUCGAUUGGAUUGAUAGACACAUGCGAAACCAACUUUCGGCAAUCUAAAUAAGUGGAGAUCAGAGUUACUACAAGGGACUCCAAGCUUGGUUUGAAUCAAGAGUGAUAAGCUAAGGAAGAUUUUUUUUUUUUUUUAAGAUUUUUUAAGAUAAACCGUAAACGUUAUACUAGUUGUACUAUGUUACUUAUAAAUCUAAUUUAAUAUUACAAUAAAUAAAAUAAAGAAAAAUACUAAAUCUUAUUAAAUUCUAUAACAUCCAGAUCAUAAUACUUGAAAUGAAACCAGUUGAAACUGCAUUAACAUAUUUAAAAUCAUCACCACCAUCAAAAUUUGUAUAUAAAAGUGAAAAUGUAUAAAUUUAGCCUUUGAUGUCAUUGAUGAAGUUAUCACCACCAUCAACUUCAUUGAUGAUUUUUUUACCAAAAAAAAAAAAAAAUCAUUGAUGAUGUUUUGUUUCAUUAGUAUUGGAAGAAAGUAAAAAAGUUUGAAGCGCUUUAAGAUAUUGUACUUAUAUUUACAAGUGACUUUAUCAUCUUUGGUAAAAAAACUACCGAUUUCGAUUAGAUGAAUAUAAUACAUGUACAAGUAAAACGACCGCCUGAAGUCAAGGGUCUUGUAGCAUGGGUAAAUGGGUGGGAAAUGUUCCGUGAAUUAGUCAUAUAGAUGUUUAAGGAUAUCCGAUUGAGACAAUCUAAGUUACCUUGGCAACUACGUCUCUAAAGUUAGGCUCUAUAUUGAACAUAUAUGUAAUUAUCAACUAUCUCUAGUUAGACGUUAUAGAGAACCCUUCAAAAUGGGCCAUAUAAAUUUUGUGGCCACAUGAAAACAGUUUUAAAUGGUGAUCUUUAGCUCCAUUACAAAUUUUUUAGCUAAUCCAUGGCUCUUUAGCAACGGAUUUGCUACAGAACAAAAAAAAAAACCAUGACAUCAAGCCAAAAACCAAAAACGUGGUCAUAUGGCAUGGGUUAUAAGAGCUACACACGUCAAAUCGCCAUAUUUUCAUAGAGCCUAAGUUAGGCCUGGUUAAAAAAACGUACUUGUUAAGCUUGUAGGGUUUUCAAAUAAUCACAAGAUUGAAUAUGCACUGCAAAUCGGACCAUGCACUGAAAAUAGAUAUCAUUAUCUUUCUUCUUUUUUUUUUUUUUGGACCAGAUGCAUUUACUUUAUGAAAUGAAUACUUCUUUUAUUAUUUUUGGAAAAUAGAACUAAACACCAUGAUGCCUAUAGUGGCUUCUGCUGGUUUUGAGCUAGUGGUCACUGGACCCCGAAAAAUUGAAGUAAAACCAAGUUUUUUAUGAAUGAAUUCAGAGUAUGGAAUCACAUACUUCUGACCAUCACUUUACAAGACAAUGACGAGUAACCUCAUAUAAACAAUAAAUAUGUAUAAUUAAUUAACUAUAUAUAGAUUUUGGAUAACACUUCUAUAUAUUGAUCUUUUUAUUGGGUUAUUAUUUGUAAAAAUGUUUUAAUUUUGUUAUUAAGUAAUAGUUUUUGUUAGUUUUGAUGAUUUUUAUGUCGAAUAAACCUGUAAAUUAAUAAAAUAAUACGUUGUCGAAAAUGUAUAUAUGUUUGGAUCAUAUUUCGCAAUUUUCUUUUUCAUUUCAACAUAUCAUAUGGGAGACAGGAAGAGACACAAAGUGUUAUACUUUAUUUAAUAUUAUUCUUCAUAGACAUUAAUAGAUAUGCUUAACAACUUUUUAGUAAGCAUCGAUAGUCCUUAUAAUUACGUUCUAAUCAACAACGAAACACACACCAACACUGUAAAACAUUAAUAGAUAAACCCAUACUUUUGGUACCAGCAAACUUAUAGUGCAAGGAAACACCGGAUAGGGCUCUUAUUUAGGGGAAUUAAGUAGUAGUUACUGUGGUGGUGGACACUGGAAACCGAUAGGAAAAACCCUAUUGCAAGCAAAAAAGAUUUCUCUAACGGCCACAUCAAUACCGAAAACCAACGGAAUCGGCCUGAAGAUAAAGCAGAGACAAUCGGUUACUUGAACAUUAGUGAGGCCAUUGAGGGCAGUGCAACACUGUCGUGCUCUGGGGUCGCCAGCUGUAACAUUGGCUAGGCCAAGGACGUUGGCACAUACGCCUAGUUGCAAUGGGUUUCUGGGACAUGAGCCAAAGUUGUUGGUCGGUGUAGGCGAGCUUAAGAGGUUUGCUUCUGCGAGGCUGAUGAGGAGGAUGAUGAUGAGGGAAAUGGUGGUUGAGCUCUUUGAGGCCAUUUUUUUAUUUUAUUUUGUGGAUAUGAAAGUGUGGAUGCUUUCGAUGAUGUUGUGUAGUAUGUAUUUAUAGAGCCAAGAGAUGCCUUGGAAUCACAAACACUUGUGUAUCAUUUAUUUUUUUUGCCUAACAUUACUCUUUUUUAAUUAAUGAGGUUUUAGAGAUUUAGGCAAGUUGUUGGUUCUCUCUCUUAUGUACAACUUUACGCUCAAAAUGUCUAGUUUGGCUUCCAAGGAGUUUUUUCUUUUGUUUUCAGAUUUGUUUUUUCUUUCUUUCAUAUAUUCAAGAGUUCAACACAAAUUAUAACCAGUAUAUACGGUUUAAAUCUAAGGUCAUGAAUGUAUGCAUUUUUUUAUGAAUUGAAUGGAUGUAAUUUUGGUUUUUUUAACACUUGAUAUAUGAACCAACUUGAAAUUACAUAUUUACAGAAGUAGAUAUAGACCAUCAAUUGAUAUAGAUGUUACAAGGAACACAAUACACACAAUAAACAUUAAUAAAUAAUUUUUCACAAGUGCGUCUUCAAUACUAAUUUUAUUUCCCGGAUUUCAUGUCUUCUAAAUAAUUAAAAUUUAUCUUCCACAUUCAGCCUCCAAUAAAAUUCUAUGUCUUCGUAAUCUAACGAAAUGAAAACUUCUAAAAUCUCCAUCCCCGUCUUUGUAUGGAACAAUAACUUGAUGUGUCAAUUGAAAUUCUAUGUUCUACUUAUAGAAACCGAUGCCAUGCAUGAUCUAGUUUUAGAAGGAAAAUCUUUGAUUACUGAGGGUUCUUUCAUUGUCUAAGAAUGAAUAUACUUGAGGUUUACCGAAGCGGGGAUCAAACAGAAUGCAAUCAUUUUGUUUGAGAUUUGAAUUUACGUAUGUAAGUUCUUCAAUUACUUUUUUUUCCAGUAAUAUUUGUAAACUCCAACGUGAUUCAAAAUCUAAAAUAAAGACAAUCAACACUCCCGUACAAACUUUAUUUUAUUUUUUAUUACAUUAUUGGAACAAAGUAUAUAUUUAGAAACAAAAGAAAAUCACGGUUAAGUGUAUAGUAAGUAGGUUUUUUAGUUUAUUGUGGGGAAAGGAGGUGGUCAUGGGCAAGUGAAGCCUGGGGGAAUGCUACGACCACAAGUCAUAAAGAGGUUGAUGAUAUUACGAGGAAGACUGCGACUUGGUGCUCUCACUGAUUCACAAAGGCAGGCAAGUGCGUCAGCAUCAGAAAGACCACGAAUGAGAGAACAACAUGGUUGCGCCGUUCCUAAUCCUAGGAAACCAUCGAACAUAUUUAGGAUAGUGCUACAUAUUUGUAGUGGGAUACCAUUCCUAGGGCAUCUACCACUCGGGGGAGGCGGUGGUGGAGUCCUCGGCGGCGGUGGUACUGAAGGUGUCCCUGGGGGCGUUGGUGGUGCACGUGGGGGAGAAAUUGGUGGAGUUAUUGGCGGUGAUUGUGGUGGUGCACGUGGAGGAGAAGUUGGUGGAGUUAUGGGAGGAGACAUCGGUGGUCUCUUUGGAGGAGAAUUUGGGGGAACUAUUGGCGGAGAUACCGGUGGUGUUUGUGGGGGAGCGGUUGGUGGAGCCCUUGGAGGAGUAACUGGUGGUGUCCGUGAAGGAGAAGUUGGUGGGGACACAGGGGGUGUACGUGUAGGAGGCAUUGGUGGACUUCUUGGCGGAGGAGAUAGAGGUGAAAGCGGGGGAGAAGUUGGUGGAGUUCUUGGUGGGGGCAUUGGUGGUGCACGAGGAGGAGAACUCGGUGGAGUUCUUGGGGGAGAUAUUGGUGGUGCACGCGGAGGAGAAGUUGGUGGAGUUCUUGGCGGGGAUAGAGGUGGUGCACGCGGAGGAGAAGUUGGUGGAGUUAUAGGGGGAGAUAGCGGUGGUGUACGUGGAGGAGAAGUUGGUGGAGUUCUUGGCGGGGAUAGUGGUGGGGCACGUGGAGGAGCUGUCGGUGAAAUUCUUGGAGGAGGAACUGGUGGUGCUCGUGGAGGAGAAGUUGGUGGAGUUCUUGGAGGAGAAUUUGGUGGAGUUCUUGGCGGGGAUAGUGGUGGUGCACGAGGAGGAGAAGUCGGUGGAGUAUUAGGAGGAGGAACCGGUGGUGCACGUGGAGGAGAAGUUGGUGGAGUUCUUGGCGGGGAUAGUGGUGGUGCACGGGGAGGAGAAGUCGAUGGAGUUCUUGGAGGAGGAAUUGGUGGUGCACGUGGAGGAGAAGUUGGUGGAGUUCUUGGAGGAGAUAGUGGUGGUACACGCGGAGGAGAUGUUGGUGGAGUUCUUGGUGG